rnacentral:lncRNA from 1 species
GGGGACGAACUACUAUUAAUAUCUGGGAAACAAAAUAUAAUUAAGUUCGUUUUUCUCAUAUCCUCUAACCAUGGUGUAGUGUUAUCUCGUAUAGAGUCGUGUCACAUGUCUAAACACUAAUCAUAGUUAACUUUUACAUUUAAUUAGAUAUUAUCACUACAAGAAAAAUGGGCAAAUAACACAAUUGAUUUGUGCCCUUCUCAUUUUCAUUGAGCACAAAUACAUAAUUGUGCUUUAUAUGGUCCAUUGAACACCCAAAUAUCUUAAUUGUGCCCUCUAACUAAAAAGCACAUUAGUUUAUGUUGUGUAUUUGUGCCUACUAAAGUUUGAACACAAAAUUUUGUGUCCAGCUUGCAUGUGUCUUUUUAAUGUCAGAGAUAGAUAUUAUUUAUUAAUUUACAAACAAGCAAUAAAAGGGUUUUGUGCCCUCUAAUUUAAUAUAUUUAAAUAAAUAUUAUUUUUUUUAUCCUUUACAUUUACUUUUACUCUACUUAAUGCCCCUCUCUCUCAAACUCUCCUUGUCCUCAGCCACCUUCCUUUCCCCCGCUUGUAUCCUCUUUCUCCCCCUUCUUCUGCACACAACAACACCACCGUCCCCCGAUCACCAACGACCGUCAAAUUAUACCUCUAGAAGACAAGAAACUUUAGCUUUGAGGAAGUGAAUCAUUCCAUGGCGCAACAACUGGCAACGGUAGGUAUCCUGCAUUGACAUUCAUGACAUUAUUUUCGUUCAUGUGCUGCUUCUGAUCCUACUGCCAUCUACUUCUCUUAAAAGUUGGUUCCCAAAGCAUCAUCCUUAACAAAAAUAGUAAAAAAGUGUUUAACAAGAUUAUUUUGCCACAGUUACGAUAGUUUGGUGUGUAUCAUACACUUCUACACACAGGUUGCAGUCUGCGAUGCAGCUAUUUAGCCUGCUUGCAAUUGGACUUUUAUUUCAAGAUAGAUAGAAGUGUCUUUCGGGAUCUGAAAUUUUGUUCAAUAUCCAAUUGGUGGAGAUAUAAAAGUUAGAUGUCAUUUAUUCAGGUUUUGUUGUUAGACACAUAUCGGUCUUCUUUUUAAUCUCUAUAUUUCUGCAGAUUUCCAAAGAACAUGGGGUUAUCAUGAGAUUUAUUCAAGUUUCUUGCUUGGGGGCAUCUUCCUCGUCUCCCUCCAGAUUCCUAAGGACUAAAGUUGCUGCAGAGGAAACUGUUUUAAGUGAAUUGCUUGAGGUAGAGUUAUUUCCUUUCCUUCUUGUACGUUGGCAUGCUUAUUUAAGGAGCAGUGUCUAACAUUCACUUUCAUCAAUAGGCCACCAUUUUGAGACCUGUUGUGAUGGUUGGUACUGCGGAUCAGAUUUUGAAUCGCUGGGCCUUUUUUGCGAAAAAAUAUGGCUUUCUUUCGCUUGUUGGGGAUGGAUCUACUAAUAUGUCUUCAAUCUAUCAAUUGAAUGCCAAUUUAUUUUAAUUUUUCAAAUUUUGUAAUUUAGCAACGUUGCUCAUGGACAUAUCUUUUUCUGAACCUUCAUUGAAAGCUAUUUACUUCCUUAAGUUUCUCAUUGAAAGCUGUAACCUAUCUGCUAACAUUUUAUUUUCCUUUUUCUCAUUACUUACAUAUGUCCGAUGUGACGAAAGGCAGGAAAAAUAUGUCAGCCUCCUUUGCUUUGAUCCUAUAAUUUUUUGGAACAAGUAUUCUUUUCACAAGUAUUUUUGUUGCCCAACUAGAGCAGCUAUGAUAGUCACUUUGAUUUGUUUUACUGAUAUGAAUUUACAGCACAUGAGAAAUCUUCGAUAAGUUUGCAUUUGGAGGAACUGGAAGAUCCAGAAAAAUUUGCAUGAGUUUAAAGCUGAAUUAACUCAUGCAUGGCAUGCCGAUGAUCGUGUUACACCCUGAAAUUAUCAAUAAAAGUACAAUUUAAUUGAUAAUUCAGUUUAACCAAUUAAUCUUACCUGGAGAGAAUUUGUAAUAGAAGAAAACAGUAAGCAUCAAACCUAGACGACUACUUGUUGUAGAUUUUUCUUUUUUAUUCGGACAUCUUGUAUGUACAUUUUCAUAUAUUUUAUAAUUAAAUACUUUUUCUUGGUUUAUUAAUUAUUGUUUAGAAUUUAAUUCUAAUAUUUAUUAAAAAGUAAAUAAAAAAAUUGCAAAAAAAAAAAAAAGGUUUGCGCGAUGAAGAAGUAACAUACAUCUUGCGCGACGUAGGGCUGCGUGGCGCAAAGUAAGUUUACGCGACGAAGACGUAACAUACAUCGCGCAAAGUAGGUUUGUGCGACACAGGUUACUUCUUCGUCGUGCAAACCUUUCUGUCACUACCUUGCCGUAACGGUUGGCGCGCAAUGAAGGUUCUUGCGCUAAUGUUCUAAUGUUUGCGCAAUGGUUUUUUUACUUUGCGCGACGAAGGACCUGCAUUGCACAAAGCGUUUUUUUUUACUAGUGCUGCUUAGAAACUUGCUUUUUUCUGCUUUGUUUUCUGUCUGGUUCUGGUUCGGUUAUUCAACUUUUAGUUGGGAGUGCAAGAUUUGUUUUUAAAUUAUUAAAUUGGGACAAAACAUAUAUUUUGUGUUGCUUUCUUCAUUGUCUGAUAAUACCACUUCCUCUUCAUUUCCCUUUUUCUUCGUGUUGUGUUGGUUUUUCAGUGUUAUAGGUUCUUUGCAUAAAUCAAACUGUAUGCAAUUUGCCCCUUUUUUUUCAUUACCCUAUUAUUUGUUGUUGUGCUGACCUUGUGAAUCAAAUACUCAGUUUUUUUAUCCCUCUAAAAUACAGUAUAUGUCUGGUUUUUGUUCAUUCACAUAUGAAUGAUAUGAUGCACUAUGAAUCAUUUCCUAACAUAUAUGUUGAGAUGUGUUAUUUUUGGUAGGAGAUUAUGGUUGCUGUUGUUAGAAAUAGAUUUAAUUUUUCUGUUUGGUUUGAUUAUAGCUUAUGUCUUUGAACAAGCAUGCUUUUAAAGUUGCUAUAAAGUGUUUCUCAUCGUAAACAUGAUCAGCAACAUUGGCUUUCAAUGCGUUUUGCAUGAUAAAAACAACAAAUAUUUGAAAACAAAUUGUCGGAAAAAAAAUGAAAAAUCACGAGAUGAAAAUCCAUGGUUCUAGGCUUUUUGUUUUUUUUCAAUUUUUGUCAUUAGAGUUUGGGUGGAGUGUACUGUGUGAGAGUGGAGAUGGGAAAGGGAAUAAUUAAAGGGUAAUGAGGGGUGGGAUUGGGGCCGCGAGGAUCAGCUCGAGAUAUGAACGGAUAUAGAGUGGGAGAAGAAAACCCAAAAAAAAGGCAAUCAAUUUAAUUUAGAUUUAGAUUUUCAAUUAAAAAUAUAUGAAAUUUGAAAACUUAAUUAGGCAGGUCCAACUCAUAGGCCACUUAAAAUUGUAGUAAAUUUCGGUGUAAAAUUAUGUUAAGAGUAACGUUACUCAAUUUUAACGUAACCAUAUUUCUAGAACAAAAAACAAAACACGAAAUGAUGAACGAAAUGUCGAUAUUAAACCACAUGUUAGAUUCUGCAGAUGAGGUAGACAUCGAAGUGAUUGGGUUCAUACUAGUACAACCCUGCCAGGCUUUCAUGAUAAAACGACAGCGAAGAGAAGUCUUUUCCUUUUACCGUUUAUAUGGUGUGUCCAAAACGUACAGAUAAAGGUGGGAGUGGUACUGGUGAAUGCGCCAACGCGGAAAAGGAAUAAGAUACUGUACGAGAAUAUUGUCAAGUUACUAAGGCCAUCUCCAACCGAUGGCUGGCCAGAGGGCUCGUUUUAGUCCUCUGGCCCUCCAAGAUUCUCCAAGAUAUUAAUAUUUUAAUGAACAGUACAUGGCCAUAUUUGACUCCGUCUCCAACCGAGGGCCAGAGGGCCAGAGGGCUCGUUUUAGCCCUGUCAAAAAAAACCGUCUCCAACCGAGGGCCAAAGGGCCAUAGGGCCAAACAUAAUUUAUUAUUUAAAAACUACAACUUAAUUUUAUUUAAAAAUCAUGUUGGUUAGUGUUGUAUAAUUUUUAUGUCGGUUAAUGUUAUUUAAUGUUGUUUCAUAUUGUUUAAUGUUGUUUCAUGUUACUUAAUUUAAUUUAAUGUUGUAUAAUGACUUAGGAAGUUAUAGGAAAAAAUUAGAAUUUAAAAAAAAUAUGAAACAAAUUUUGUGAAAUAGAAGUUAUAGGAAAAAAUGGAAUUUAAAAAAAAAAAUAUGAAACAAAUUUUGUAAAAUAGAAGUUAUAUGAAAAAAAUAUGAACCAAAUUUUGUAAAAUAUAAGUUAUAGGAAAAAAAUAGAAUUAAAAAAAAUUGAAACAAAUUUUGUAAAAUAGAAGUUAUAGGAAGUUAUAGAAAAAAAAAGAAAAAAAAGGUUUAAAUUCAUAAAAAAAAAGGAUUUACAACGGCUAGUGGCGCUAGCCGUUGGAAGUUUGAAUUGAAAAUGUUAUUUCUGUCGGUUGUAACCGACAGAAAUAAUAUAUAUUAUAUUAUUUCUGUCGGUUAUAACCGACAGAAAUAAGAAACAUUAAAAAAAAAUAGCCAGCCUGGGGCUGGCUGGCUGGCCGAAAGCAGCCAGCCCUCCAGCCCUCUCCGAUCCCGUGGGGCCCUCCCAAAUUCCCGAGCCCUCUGGCCUAGCCCUCGGUUGGAGACGGUUUUAGGGCUAUUUUCGGCCCUCUGGCCCUCUGGACCCUUCGGUUGGAGAUGGCCUAAUUCACUGAGCCAGUAAGAUAAGAAAUUUUUAAUUGUGAUGGAACACCGAUGGUACAUCAAGUGUUUUUAUGUAAGUAGUAAAAAAAUAUAUUUUUUAAGUUAUUAACUUUUUGAUACACAUAUUCUACUAUUUAUGUAAUAACAUGUGGUGUAUCAUCUCAUGUGACGGUCACACUGAAAAAUCAUUCUAGUAAGACAUAAUUACUUGUAAUUAAUUUGUUAUUAGCCACAAUAAUACAAAGAUUGUUGACUUAUUUUAAAUUAAGUACCAGCAAAACCCUCAACUCAACUAUUUCGACUGACAAAAGUGUCAUGGAUUAUUCUGUGGUCCUUCACCUGAUAGUAACUAACUACUACCAUUCUUCAUCCUUGUGACGACCAGCUGGUCUGCGUAUCAGAGUGGAUCAAAUACUUUAGAAAAAUGUUUGAAAAUGAUAUAUUUAGACUAUAAUUGCAUGUGAUUUAGUAUCUCCUCCCUUAAUGAAACAAUUUCGAAUCUCCCCCUCCCUUUAGUAUUAAUAAUUUUUAAAAGAACUUUUUGAACUUUAAUUCUUAAAGAAUAUUAAAAUUUAAUAAAAAUCUACCAUUAGAUUACACAUUGAUUUUAGUCCCUUAAUAUGUACUUAAUUCAAAUUUAUAUUAUAUUUAUGUUUCAAUAUUUGAUGGAUAUCUUAUUUAAUGUCUUCAUAUUAAUUUUAAAUUUAUUAUUAUACACAUUUUAAUUGAUUAGUUUGUCUAGCUUCUUCUAAUUAGUGUAAUUAAACAUCCGUACCGUAAUAUAUUUUAUUGAAAUGUCCGUACCUAAAUAUAUUAUAAUGAAUUAGUGACACAUAAGAAAAUAUGCAAAAACAUAAGUGUAUCGAAAAGUUUGUAUCUAAACAUAUUAUACUAAACUAGUGUACUGAAAUGUCUAUACCUAAAUAUAUUGUACUAAAUUAGUAUACCAAAAUGUCCGCACCUAUACAAAUUAUACUAAACUAGUGUACCGAAAUGUCCGUACCCAAAUAUAUUGUAAUAAAUUAGUGGCACAUAAGAAAAUAUGCAAAAACAUAAAAUGUACCGGAAAGUCUCUACCAAAGUAUUUUCUUAUAUAAGAUACUUACCAUAAAUUGGUGAUGCAAAAUGUCAAUAAAUAAAAGCUAAUUCAUUUGAAUUCAAAUGAGUAUUAAAAUUUACAAUAUUUUUAUAAAGUUUAAUUCAUUGGCACCAUAAAACUAUAACUUAAAAAAAAAAAAAAAGACCUUGAAUGCAUAUGACAUUAAAUAGAGUCUAGAGACUAAAAUUAAAUAUUUUUCUAAACUUCAUAAAGGAGUGAAGUAUAUAAGGCCAUCUCUAACCGAAUGAUCCAGAGGGCCAGAGUGCAGAAAAUAGCCCUAAAACCGUCUCCAACCGAGGGCUAGGCCAGAGGGCUCGAGAAUCUGGGAGGGCCCCAUGGAAUUUCAAAGGGCCAAAGGGCUGGCUGCUUUCGACCAGCCAGCCAGCCCCGGGCUGGCUAUUUUUUUUUAUAGUUUUGUUAUUCCUGUCGGUUAUAACCGAUAGGAUUUAAAAAAAAAAAAUUCAAAUGAAACGGCUACUAGCCGUUGCAUUUGAUUUGAUUUUUUUUUACAUUAUUAUUAUUUUUUUUAUUUACAAAAAUUUUCAUAUAACUUCUAUUUCACAAAAUUUGGUUCAUAUUUUUUUUAAAUUCCAUUUUUUUCCUAUAACUUCUAUUUCACAAAAUUUGUUUCAUAUUUUUUUUUAAAUUCCAUUUUUUUUCCUAUAACUUCUAUUUCACAAAAUUUGUUUCAUAUUUUUUUUCCCUAUAACUUCUAUUUCACAAAAUUUAUUUCAUAUUUUUUAAAAAUUCCAUUUUUUUCCUAUAACUUCUAUUUCACAAAAUUUAUUUCAUAUUUUUUAAAAAUUCCAUUUUUUUCCUAUAACUUCUAUUUCACAAAAUUUAUUUCAUAUUGUUUUUUAAAUUCCAUUUUUUUCCUAUAACUUCUAUUUCACAAAAUUUGUUUCAUAUAUUUUUUUUAAAAUUCCAUUUUUUUCCUAUAACUUCUAUUUCACAAAAUUUGUUUCAUAUUUUUUUUAAAUUCUAUUUUUUUUCCUAUAACUUCCUAAGUCAUUAUACAACAUUAAAUUAAAUUAAGUAACAUGAAACAACAUUAAACAUUAUGAAACAACAUUAAAUAACAUUAACCAACAUAAAAAUUAUACAACAUGAAACUUAAACAACAUUUUAGUUGUAGUUUUUAAAUAAUAAAUUAUGUUUGGCCUUAUGGCCCUUUGGCCCUCGGUUAGAGACGGUUUUUUGUGACAGGGCUAAAACAAGCCCUCUGGCCCUUUGGCCCUCGGUUGGAGACGGAGGCAAAUAUGGCAUUGUACUGUUCAUUAAAAUAUUAAUAUCUUGGGGAAUCUUGGAGGGCCAGAGGGCUAAAACGAGCCAUCUGGCCAUCCCUCGGGUGUAGAAAAAAUCACGGAGUAUACCCACCCAUUGGGUUCGUUUAGUGUUAGAAUCGGAUAAUCCACUGUAUGAUGUAUCAAGAGUAGAAGUAAAAAAUAUAUAAAAAAUAUUGUGCUCAACUUGAAAGUAAAAAAUGAAUUCUUAUUUCGAUCAUUUCUUUCCAUAUCUAAUUCUCUCAAAAUAAAAGCUCAUUACUUCUACGUACCUUGAAUAUGCCAUGAAUACCCUCUGCCUUGCUCACAGAUGUGAAUUGCAUAAUCGGGAUAGCUAGGGCAUAUUUCUAAAAUUCCACGCAGGAUUAAACACAAGACCAAAACCACUUAAAAAUCUCUCUGUGGAUUCGAAUGCAAAUUGUGAGAUUGGUACCUAAUAACUACAGCACAAAAGGGUAAUGGGUCAACGUAACCUUGGUGUCGAUACUUAAUUAAUCCAGACAAUCAAGUUUUGUCAUACUUAAUACUUUUUUCAUAACAAUAGUAAUGCUGCAGAUAUUCCAAUUCGAACGAACACUGAGAUUCUUGAGACCAUGAUCAUGCCCAUAAUCUAUUUUCUUUCUGUUUGUCUUCACAAAAAUUAUGAUGCUUCUAUUUUCUAUCACAACUUACCAAUGAUACUCAAAGUUCUCUUACUGAUCAGUCCAUAGAAGAUAAAAUAAAAUGAGCAAUUAGUCUAAGUAGCAAGGUGAAAAUGGAUAAGAACAUUCGGAUAGAUAUAAAGAGGAAAAGCUCUACCUUUACCAAGGCAAGAAUAUUGCCAGCUGCAUAUCAUACUCAGGCGAACAAUCAAAUCAAUAGUUGGUUUUUAAAAAUUAAUUAGUUUAUUUAUUUAUUUUAACAUCUUCAGUCUUUGUAUAGUGGUUUAGCUAUACCGAGAAGAUGAAGAUUGGAGAAGAGAAAGAUCUCCAAGAAUCAAGAAGAAAAAGAUUCAAGAUCAAAGAUCAGAGAUUGAGAGCGGAAGCAACCAAGAUCGAAGAAUUUUACCGAGCAAUUAGCUAUACCGGCGAAGGUACCAUGUAAACCUAACCAGAAUUACAGAGAAGAGAUAGAGAGGAGAGAUUAUUCAGUGUAACUGUCACACGAAGUGGUAUACCACAUGUCCCUAUAUAAAUGGUGGGUUAUGUGUGUUAAAAGGUUAAUAACUUAAAAAUUAAAACUUUCCACCACUUGCAUAAAAACAAGUGAUGUACUAUCUGCAUUCCCGUCACAAUUAAAAAUUUCUUGAGAGAGAGAGAUAACGAAAUAGAGAGAGCGCUUAGCUUUGGGAGAAAAAUGAGUGAUUAAUGAUGAUUCACAAUACAAUGGUUCAGUCUCCCUUAUAUACUAUAUAUAGUUAUAGAAAAUUAUUAAGGAAAACUAAUGAAAAAGGUUUGAGAACUUUGAGUUUUAACGAUAAGGACAAAAUAAAGGGUAAAAUGAAUAGUACCAAUUUUGAUUUUUUAGUGUAAAAAUGUGGUUUUUCGUUAAAGUGAACAGUACCGCUUAAAACUCCCAAAUUAUUAACCAAGUAAUCUCAUAACUAUCUAUUAAAAGAAACUCACUGAUCUAUUGACAAGUGGCAGCUUAUAAAACCAUUGGAUUAUUAUCCUUAACAUUUUGGCCAUUAUAAACAUGAGCAAACACGUCAAACAAUUGACACAAGCAAAACCAUAUGGCUUCUGCAUCCUCUCCCGCUACUGCUACCACCACCACCAUGGGCACUUACUCUUCUUUGAUCAUCUCCACCAAUUCCUUCUCUGCCUUCCUCCCAAACAAAUCCCAACUUUCCUUCUCUGGAAAAAGCAAGCACUACAUUGCACGUAGAUCAUCAAUCUCUUGCAAAGCCACAAACCCUAAUUAUAAUAAUGAGCAAGAUCAACAACAAUCUUCUAAUUUGUUGGGAAAAUUGGACAGGAGAAAUGUCCUAAUUGGCCUGGGCGGCCUCUACGGGGCCACCACCCUCGCCCCAAAGCCGUUGGCCUUUGCCAACCCGCUGGCUCCACCCGACCUAACCAAAUGUAAGCCGGCCGAAAUCACCACCGGAGGUGAAACUGUGGAAUGCUGUCCACCGGUCUCCACAAAGAUCAAAACCUUCACUCCGGAUCGGUCUAUCCCACUGCGGACGAGGCCUGCCGCCCAUUUGGUCACGGACGAGUACUUGGCCAAGUUCAAGAAAGCUCAAGCCCUCAUGCGUGCCUUACCCGAAGACGACCCGCGUAGCAUGGUUCAACAAGCUAAAGUUCACUGUGCCUACUGCAAUGGUGCUUAUCCACAAGUAGGGUUUCCGGACAUUGACAUCCAAAUCCACUUCUCCUGGCUUUUCUUUCCUUUCCACCGCAUGUACUUGUAUUUCUACGAGAGAAUCCUUGGCAAGCUCAUUGAUGACCCAACUUUCGCUCUCCCAUACUGGAAUUGGGACUCUCCUGACGGUAUGUUAAUAAUUUGUGCUGCAGAGCUAAAAUUUCACAACAUAAAUAUGUUUCUUUAAUGGACCACCCUUUUUUUUUUAUUAUUUUUUGUUUUUUGACAAACAACGUAUGUAAACAUAUAUCUUUGGCCAUGAUGUAGCUAGCAAAUGAUUAGAUAAAAUAUAACUGCAUUAUAUUCUUGGGAGCAGCCUCUCCAUAAAUGGGGGUAAGGCUAGUCGACAUUCACCUCUCCCAGAUCCUGCGUAAAGCGGGAGCCUUGUGCACUGGGUACGACCUUUUUUUUUUUAACUGCAUUAUAUUCAAGAUGUAUGUGUACAAUAUGUCAUAAUAUACUUGUCCGUUGUGCAGGUUUUCCAAUUCCCGACAUUUACACAGAUACAACUUCCCCACUCUAUGAUCAGUACCGAAACGCCGACCACCAGCCCCCCGUGCUGGUGGAUCUCAGCUACGGUGGAACCGAUGAUGACGUGGACGACCAGACAAGAAUAGAUGAGAAUCUAGCCAUCAUGUACCGGCAAAUGGUUUCCGGUGCCAAAACUCCCCAUCUAUUUUUCGGCCAUGAGUACCGGGCAGGAGACACAACAACAGGGACUUACGCCGGCACCAUUGAGAACAGUCCUCAUAAUAACAUCCAUCUCUGGUGCGGUGACCCGAACCAGACCCACCAAGAAGACAUGGGUAACUUCUACUCCGCCGGUCGGGAUCCCCUGUUUUACGCCCACCAUUGCAACGUGGACCGCAUGUGGAACGUUUGGAAAACCCUCGGAGGCAAGCGCAAGGACCCCACCGACACCGAUUGGCUUGACGCUGAGUUUCUGUUCUACGAUGAAAACGCCGAGCUUGUGAGCUGUAAAGUUCGGGACAGCCUCAAACCUGAGAAAGAUCUUCGUUAUACUUACGAGCCUGUUAGUGUUCCGUGGCUGUUCACCAAGCCAACCGCUCGUAAGCCAAAGAGCAAGACAAAAGCCAAGGUGGGGGCUACCCAGCUGACGACAAAGUUCCCGGCCACGUUUGAUUCGAAGACGACGGUGGAGGUGGCGAGGCCGAAGCCGCGGAAGAGGACCAAGAAGGAGAAGAUCGACGAGGAGGAGGUGCUGAUCAUUAAGGACAUCGAAUUCGAGAGCAACGAGGCGGUGAAGUUCGAUGUGUUUAUUAAUGAUGAUGCUGAGUCGCUCAGUAGGAAGGACAAAUCCGAGUUUGCUGGGAGUUUUGUGCACGUGCCGCAUAACCAGAAGACUGGGACGAAGAAAAAGACGAACUUAAAACUGGGGAUCACGGACUUGUUGGAGGAUUUGGGUGUGGAGGAUGAUAGCAGUGUGCUGGUGACGUUGGUGCCUAGGGUUUCGAACUCGCCUAUCACCAUUGGUGGGUUUAAGAUCGAGUAUUCUUCUUGAUCAAAAAGUAUGGUUAAGUAAUUAAAUAAUUUCAUAGUGGAAUGGCCUGCUUUCAUGCAUGCCCUUGUGUUUAGUUAAUGCGAUGUGUACCAGUGCAUAAUUUGGAUCAGAAGCCAUGCAAUUGAUAUGCUGGCUUUUCCAAAUUUUUAAACGUACGAGUUUGUGGGAUUAAUAUUCCAUUGUUUAAUUGUAUGUGGAAAUGUAUCCGUAAUUUUACUUGGUUCAUCAAUAAAAUGCAUCAAUGUGCUUGAAUAUGUUUAUAUCUCUAUCUUUUGUUGGAGAUGGCCAUUGGCCGCAUUAAAAGUGUAUCUCUACCUUAAUAAUGCUGAAAUUGGAGCAUCACUUAAAAGUAUAUCUCUACCUUAAUAGUAUUAGUAUUUCACGAAAUUUAAGGCUAAAUGUUGGUGGCCACUGGCCUCAAUUUAAGUAAUAUGCUCCUUUUUGUGUGUGUGCGCGAAUAAGAACUAUACUUCGUGAGCAAUAGUGUAUGCUCAUGUGACCAGUCUAUUUAUGCAAAUUGCAAUAUAUUCAGUACUCAAUAGUGAAUAGCUAUAUUGAAACACCCAACCCCAUUUUAUUUAAAAAUUGUUUUAAAGCCUUAAUUGGCCACCUUGUUUUAUUUUUUAUGUUUUCUGAUCUCUCUCUUCUUCUUCUUCAUCUCUCCCUCCCGUGGCUCUCUCAACUCUCCCGUAUCCCUCUCCCUCAACCUCUCGCACCUCUCUCUCUCCCCCCUGGACUCACUUGGACCUUAGCACCUUCAGGAGAGGCUCGUAGCAAGCCCAGGACCCCCCUGCCCGCGAGUUCAACGGCACGGAGCAAAGCUCCAGUGAACUCUCUCUCUCUUUUUUCGUUAGGUAAGUCGAAUUUCUCAUUCUCGUGGUUAUCUUGAUGCUUGGAUGUGUUUUAUGAACUAGAUCCUUCCAUUUUUACGUAGGAUUUGCUUCGGAAUCGUUGUGGGUGAGCACACCCAUUUUUCCGACGAACCCGUGCACUCUGAGGGCUUUUCCGGUCACCUCCGACCGAGUUAUGAUGUUUGGAAGGUAGAAACCUCUUCCUCUCUCUUUAUUCUUCAUGUUUGUACUUAGUUCGGAGCUUGAAGCCCCCGUUUUUAGGUGACCGGAGUUGUAGCAGCUCCGGCCUUCUUCUUCCUCGGCACCAGGCCAUCCGGCCUUUCUCAUUUCCUCCCCUCAGGCCUUAAGCCCGUGUUGUCUUAGCCCAAAACCCCCAGCCCCUUUUUUUUUUUUAAUUUUGUUCAUUUUGUUUUUAAAACCCCUAAAGGCUUCGGGCCUUAUUUUAAAAUGGCCUUGGGCCGGUUUAAUUCAAAGGGCUUAAAGCUCUGUUUGUUUUUGUGAGGCCUUAAGGCCUUGUCCCGUGUAUGUGUGUGUGUGUUUAGGUGUGUGCGUGUGCAUGUGCAUGUUGUGCAUGUGUGUGUGGGUUUGUGGUGUGUGUGUGUUUGGGCUAAAGCCCAAACCCUAAUUCUCACCCUAAUACCCUUUUAACCCAAAACCCUAGGUUCCUAAAGUCCUUUAAAACCCUAAACCCACCCAAUCCCAAAUCCCCUAUUUUAUUUAACCUAAACCCUAAUCUGGAUUUCAAACCUAAAACCCGUUAGACCUAAUUUGACCGUUGACCCCCGGUCAACGUUGACUUUAGGGUUGACUUUUCGGGUUUUCGUCCGGGACCCUUCUUAGGGUAAUUCAACAUUCUGAAUCCGUUUCCAAUGUCCGUUUUCUCAAAUUCAAUUUAAUUCGCUAGUGGCGCAGCUUUUGACAACUAAGUACUGUGAGUGGACCCCUUCUAAAAUUACAUGAUUUUAUCGUAAUUGCAUAAAUGAUUAGCAUGCCUAUGAAUUUUGUGAAUUGAUUUAUAUCAAUCUUGUUUACUGAAUUUAUGGAUUUCGUCUCGUGUUUUGGUGAGGAAAUAAUUGUUAGCUUAUAUUGAGCUGUAUUUUAAUAUAUAUAUAUAUAUAUAUAUAUCGUAAUUUCUAUAAAAACCAUGAACUGGUAGACUAUCCGAUGGAUGACAAUAGGAUGCUAGAACAUGUUUUAGAAACCUCUCUUUAUAGUAUAGACGAUGGAUGACUUUAUAGUAUGAAGUGGUUAUUUAUGAGAGACGUAACUAUUUGUGCGUACCUAGUAGACACUAUGCCGCCUGGGGCGAGGAUCUGGUGUUGGCAAUUAGGCCAGGAGAAAUAAUCCCUAGCGAAAGGUUGAGGGCCACGGUGACAGGCACUGGGCCGAGAAGGAGUUAUCUCUGGCUACGGGCACAGAAACUGAGGUGCAGGCAUUGGGCCGGGAGUAUUAUUUAUUCAGUGAUCUUUCUAGCAGCACACCGCGUCUACGAGACGAUUUAUGAUACGUUUACUGUUUUGAUUUCCGCAAUGCGUUUCCGCGAUGUGACUUUUGAGAUAUUUUUGUCAUGCUAGGAUUUUUUACUAAUCCAUCACUUAUUAUGCUAGUAGUUUUCAUUAUAUAUAAACUGUGGGGGUUAGUACAUUGAUAACUGUUUUAUUAUUAUUAUAUAUAUAAACUUGGUCCACUCACCUUUGUUUUGCGCCCCCAUUCAGGACUUAGGAUCAAGGCACAUAAUCCCGGCAUCAAGGCACUUCCGUAGCGGUAUCUUCAAGUCCUCUCGGAGUACGACCCAUCUCUUUAUUUCAUUUAUUUUUAUCUUAAUUAUUUUAGUGAUUAGGUUUAGUUGUAUGCUCUGAACACGUUCCUAAAUUAUUAUUUCAUUGUAUUUUAAAUUUCUAACCCUUAUUUACUUCUUAUCCUUAGCUUUUGUAUCAAUUACUGGCUUUCGUCACCCUCGGGUGUCGGCCAACACGUGUCUAUCCUGGUAUUCAGGGAAUAUCAGGGUCGAGGCGUGUCAUAUAUCGCCCGCCCCUGUUUGAAAAAUCAAAGUCAUAAAAUCUUGGCAACCACUAGCUAGCUAGUGUAGAAACUAGGCCCACUACAUCUUUUAUUUUUUUUGGUAAAAGAGAAUUUUUAUAACAAAGUUCAGAGGGACAAAUUACAAAGACUCCGCAAGUAAAAGCGAGAAAUAAAAACAGCCCAAAAAAGAGGACGGUACAGACAGGAUGCCACAUAUGCACACAAUGCAUGAGUAAAGGUUCCUAUCUAUACCAAAAGCAAAAAAAAAAAAAAAAACAUAGAAUUCCAAAAGCCAAGGUCCAAUCGUAGAGGCCUAAAAGUGGCCACACAAAAUAACCUAAAAAUCCUAAACAAAUCUUCGCCCGCCACAUACGCGGCCAAAUCCGUGAAAACACUGUCGCAAGGUGCACGGCUCGAACCCAUCGUAGUCACUAUGUUGGGGAAAAAGUGCCAAAUCUUCAGAUCUAAAGAAACCACAGCAAUACCGAACACCACAUUUCUAGCCCUCAGCCGAUACCAAACACACAAAGGGCAUCUAAAUGCCCAAAAGCAAGCUGUAACCAAAAAGGUCAAGUGGUGUAAACACCAUUCUGAAGAGAUACCAAACCUUUGUAGGGGUGACAACAUAUAGUUGUCUUUAAUCGGAGAGAAGCACGAAAGAAGCAGCAAGCAAGUGGUGAGGUGAGAUCCACCAAAUUUGGAAUUUGAUUCGAUGUUUUGCAAGAUCUUGAGCACAGGGCCCCAAAUCGCCCAAAAGCUCCAAAUCAAAAUACCAUGAUCCAUGGGCAAAUGACUUGGAGAUAAUACUCCAUCCACACUACCCGUAGAUGGUGGGUUGCUCCACCGUUCCAUGGAGGGAAACGGGGCCACCGCAAGUGCGGGGAAAGACAAAAGGCCCAUAGAUGGUGCUCCAUCCACUCCUUCCGAAAAAAGUGGGGCGAUCCCCAAGUUAAGGACGAAUAAGGAGGCCAUCACAGGAGCCGAGUAAGAAGGGAAGGAUUGAGAGGAGGAGGAGGGGAAAACAAGCUUGAAAAGUUAGCUGCCACCGACCCAGUAGAAGGGAAACUCCGAGCAAACUUUGCUACUAAAAGCACAAAUUUCAAACCUAUUUAAGCCAUCCACACUGUCAAUUGUGGAUCUUUUGGUCCAUGACUUAAUCUCAUAUAUGGAUCAGGGGACACACAUAUACUGACAUCUAUUUUAUGGGAUUAUUUCAUGACAUUUUCAACGAUCUGAACCGUCUAUCUUUUAAAUUUUUUUCUCAAAUAUUAUGUUUACCAAAAAUCACUAAAAUCUAAAAUCAUAUGAUCGUUGGAUCAAAUGAUACUCAUUAUAGAGUUUCUUUGCAAAAUCGGAUCAAUCUAUUUUCUUCACUACAAAUGAAUAUUUUAAUGAUUUUAAACUUUUCUAAUUUUUUGCAAAGAUGAUCAUUUAUGAAUGAUGGAUUGAAACAUAACCUAAGUGGAUUAUAAAAUUGAAAGAAAUGGUGGAUUGAAACAUAACCUAUGAGUUUGUAAUUCUUAUGAACCGAGUGAAAGAUGAGGGAAUAAAACAGUACAUGUACUAGUACAUAAAUAACUGCCUAUGCUUACGUGGCAAUCCUACCCAACCUUAUCACUCCAGCUCAUUACAACAUGGAAAGCUUAUCUAACAUCAACCAAUCUUAUACUGACAUCUGUAAUUUCAGUUAUUUUGGUUAUUAAUUCCGAGUCAACUAAAGGGCAGCAGUAUUAUUCUUUGUCAACCAUAAAGGGCCGCCAACGUGUGCUUGCACGGUAUGCAUCAUGCGUAGAAAAGUAUAACCCAAAUCCAUUAUAAGAGCAAAUUCCAGUUCAACUAUACAGAGAUAAGUAACCGUGGCUUCUAUGUCACCUCCACUAGUCACCACCACCACAAAUAUCAUCCCCACAACUUCUCUCUCUCCUUUUUCCCAAAAGAAUCACCACAUUCCCUUAUUUGGAAACCUUAGGCAUUCAAAUUUACGUGACGUCUCAUGCAGAACCUCAAAUUGUUAACGUGAGUGGUAUUAAAAAGGGUAUGUAAAUAUAUUGUAAAUAUUAAAAUCUUUUAUUAAGAAUGAUAGUUGUGUGUCCUUUAUUGUUUCCUUAUAGAAUAAGGAUUGUAUCUUGUAUAGAUUGAUUAUUAUGCAAUACAAUGUAAAUUGAGCCGUAAAAUUCAAUUUAGCAUCAGAGCCAAGCGUAACCCUAAAAUAUAUUCCCACCGUGCCGCUGCUACAGUAAAGAAAACCCCGAGAAAACCCUUGCACGUCUGUGAUCUCUGCUGCGUUUCUGCAGCAAGUCCUGGCUGCUGUGUUGCUUUUGUAGGAGACAAGGACCACUGUGAUCUCUACUGCGUUUCUGCAGCAAGUCCAGGCUGCUGCGUUGCUUUUGUAGGAGACAAGGACCACUUCGGUUUUCAGUGGUUGUCGCUGCAUCCCUGCAGCAAAACUGUGUGCUUUCUGCUUCGUACCUUGUGCGUGGUGUGUAUUGUGAUUAAUGGCGAGUGAUAAAGGAGUAGUGACCAAAACAAAACCCUUCCACUAGCUCCAACAAUCACAACCAUGAAAACCCUUCUCCAGUAAACCUAGACAGAAGAAAUGUACUUAUAGGCAUCGCAGGCCUAUACGGUGGGGUGGCUGGUCUUGACAGCGACCCCUUUGCUUUCGCAAAGCCAGUGUCCCCAGCCAAAUGUGCAGCUGCGGAUUUACCAAGUGGAGCACUCCCAACCAACUGCUGCCCUCCAACCUCCCAAAAAAUCGUAGACUUCUAAUUCCCCUCCCCCGCUAAACUCCGUGUCAGGCCAGCGGCUCACGCGCUGGAUCAAGCCUACAUCGAAAAGUACUCGAAAGCCAUCCAGCUCAUGAAAGCCCUCCCGAACGACGACCCGCGUAGCUUCUCCCAGCAAGCCUAUGUUCAUUGCGCCUAUUGCAACGGCGCGUACGACCAAGUCGGCUUCCCCAACCUCGAGCUCCAAGUCCAUCAAUGCUAGCUUUUCUUCCCCUUCCACCGUUACUUCCUAUACUUCUACGAAAGAAUCUUAGCCAAACUCAUCGACGACCCGACGUUCGCGUUGCCGUUUUGGAACCGGGACGCGCCAGCUGGCAUGCAACUCCCUGCCUUGUACGCCAACCCCGACUCUCCGCUAUACGACGAGCUCCGCGCUUCGAGACAUCAGCCGUCGACUCUCAUCGAUCUUGACUUCAACGGCACGGAUGAAACAAUGUCCAACGACGUUCAAAUCGACGCCAACCUCAAAAUCAUGUAUAGGCAGAUGGUUUCCAACUCCAAGAAACCGCUGUUGUUCUUUGGUUCGCCUUUGAGAGCUGGCACUGAACCAGAUCCAGGGUCCGGUUAAAUCGAAGGUACCCCACAUAGUCCAGUUCAUAGGUGGACCGGACGCAACCUAAUUUUGAAGACAUGGGGAAUUUUUACUCCGCUGCUAGGGAUCCUAUAUUUUUUUCGCACCAUUCGAAUGUGGAUCGAAUGUGGAAUAUUUGGAAAAAUAUAGGGAACAAAAAUAAAGAUAUUAACGAUAAGGAUUGGUUGGAUACGGGGUUUUUGUUUUAUGACGAGAAUGCUGAACUUGUUAGGGUUACGGUGAGGGACUCUCUUGAUAAUAAAAGGCUUGGGUAUACGUAUGAAGAUGUUGACAUUCCGUGGCUCAAGUCUAAACCGAUGCCACGUCGGACAAAGCUUGCGAAAAUGGCAAAGGCAGCUGGUGUGGCCAAGGCCGCUGAGACGACGUCAUUAGGGAAGGUGGUGGCGGUAAAGAUUUUCCGCUAAAUUUGGAGAAUAAGAUAAGUACGGUCGUGCCGAGGCCGAAGCGGAAGAAGAGGAGGAAGAAGGAGAAGGAGGAUGAGGAGGAGAUAUUGGUGAUUGAGGGGAUUGAGUUCGAGAAAGAUGUGGCUGUGAAGUUUGAUGUGUAAGUGAAUGACGUGGCGACGAUGAUGAUGAUGUGGUACCGAGUGGACCCGACAAGAGCGAGUUUGCGGGGAGUUUUGUAAAUGUGCCACAUAAGCAGAAGGAAAGGAAGAAGAGCAAGAGUUGCUUGAGAUUGGGGUUAAUGGACUUAUUGGAGGAUUUGGGUGCUGAAGAUGAUGAGAGUGUGGUGGUGACUUUGGUGCCCAGGUGUGGGGCUCAGGCUGUUAAGAUUGGUAGCAUCAAAAUUGAGUUUCUUCCUUGAACAUAAGUGCUUCACUUUUCAGUUUCUAAUCAAUGAAAUCAUUUUUUUUCAUGAAUCUAUAUUUUGAAUUAUACCAAACUAAAUUUGUAAUGUUAUUAUGCCAUGCAAAUAAUCUUUCACUAUACAUACUCCUUGAAAAGAAACAUAACCAUAAAAAAGGAAAUAUUACAUUACAAUGGGUCAUCAGGUUCCACUUUGAAUUUUCUUUCAAGAGAUUCUGAAUGUGUUUGUUCUUAGAGGAUAUAUGCGCUGCAUCUAGCUAUAAUUUUGACAAAUUGGCCACUUAUAUAAAUAUCUGUACCGACUGACUGACAUGCAUCUUUAAUUUUCGUCUCUUCCUUUUGAUGAGGAACAAGCAGACAGAACAAAAAACAAAUAAGGGAAAUAUGUGUAGGUUCUGCUAAUAAACUCGGCAUAACCAAAUGGGAAGAAGCCAAAUUAGGAAGAAGAAAACGAAGAUAAAUAAACAAGAAGAUGGGAAAGUAGCCAGAAAGACAAAAAUGAUUACCAGGCUGACACUGAAACUUAUUCGUUUGAUUAUUCUUUUUAGAAGGUAGUCAUAAUUUUUACCAUUGAUGGAAUAAUAUCAUGUGUCCCAACGAAAAAUAGAUUCAAUGGAGUAGAUAGUUAAAUCUUUAAGAUCUACAGGUCUUAUGCAUUUCGGGCCAAGUGAGUUCCCUGCGCUACGUACCGACGUUUCACGGGCCUUAUGAAUAUACAACACUGAAAAGCAUAGAGAUACAACCAAAUCCCACGUACUAAAAGAAUACACAGAAAAUUGAGAGUAAAUAUUAAAUGGAACACUUUUUCUAGUUUAAAUUUUAAAUUAGAUUUUGAUACUAAUUGAAAUGUCAAAGUAAAUUUGAACAUACAAAACUACGGGGUAAAAAGUGAAUUUGGAAUGAAAGUUGUGACAAAAUCUAAAUAUUGGUGACCUAAAAACUAAGGUGGAAUUUGGUAUUCCUGUAAUUUCCUAUUUAAUAAAUAGCUUUGGAUAUACAUUGUUGUUAUAUUUUUUUCGAUAAUACUUGCAUUCUUCAUGAGAUAAUAUAUCUUUACUUUAUAAUUUUCAUAAUUACAAUCAUUCAAUUUUAUUAAUCUUUAUUUGAAGAUCAUUUCUAUAAAAAAAAUAUUCGAAUUGAAAAUCAUGUCCAAAUGUAUCAAAUAAAUUAUAUACUUGGUACUCACAAUGUUGAUUUGUUCCAUGCAUUUGGAUACAUAUACGAUCUCUGAUUCGAAUAAUUUUGUAAAGAUGAUCAUCAAAUGAAUAUUAAGAAAUAGAAGGAUUCUAAUUAUAUAUAUUUUACAGUAUAUAAUACCACUAGACUGUAGUACUAAGUGACACUUAAUUAGCUUAAUUAUCUUUCUUUUACAUACAAUACAAAAAAAAGGGGCACUGCACACAUUAAAUUAUUUGUGCCCUUUGAGGCCAAAGGGCACCAACAUAUGUGCCCAUAGACCAAUGGCAAUAGUACAUCAAUUAUUAUAUUGUUUGUGCCCUCUAUGGGCGUUACCUUUGAUGAAUGGGCACAAUAUGACUUUUUGUGCUUAAACAGUUAAGCACAAAUAGAUGUCUUUUUGUGCCUACAUUCUGAGAGUGUCAGACAAUCUAACAACCACCUGACGGCCACUUUUUUGAAAUUGUGCCUAAUAAGUUGUAUUUUAAAAAAAUUGAAAAAUCAAAACAGGCUCCAAACUAAAUUUAAGCAAAACAAACGAUUAAAAAUUUCAUAAAAUGAAAACCAACGGCUUCAACUGUUAGAAUGAACCAAACAGUUAAAGUGGAAUAUCAUUAAUGAAAGUAUACAAGUAUUCCUCAUAAAAAAAAAACAUGUGUACUUUAGCCAGGCAAAAUUGAUAUAUCCAACAGAACUUAAGCAAUCCAUGCAUCUCUACAUAUAGCCAAGCAAAACUGAUUUCAUUUCUUUUUUUCCAACUUGGUGGAUAAUGCAAUCAUCUUCCUGAAAUCUAAACCAAAGGGAAAAUGAAAAUAAAUUGUUAAGGACCUAUUUCCAGUGAUGUUCAAGGACCAAAACUUUCAAUCGGCUCUGAGAACUCACAAGCACUGACGCAUUGCUACUUUGUUAUACUAAAUAACAACAAACAAAACAUGCAACUUAAAUGAGCAGCUAAACCAUCAUUACUAGCAAACAAGAUGUACAAAACAAUACAAGUUUGGACAAUCAUUUAGCUUAGGUCAAAUGCAGUGAGAUAAAUCUCAAUGUUAUGACAUUAAUUUCUAAGAAAGAUAGCAAAUGCUAAAAACCUUAUAGGACCUGCAAAGCAAAGUCUAAUAAAUAAGUAUUUUGAAAUCUAACCUUUCUUAUAUUCCCCAGUUUUGCAUCUCAUCCAAUCUUUGCUCCACAAACGAACUAAUCCGGAUGAUAUGUGUGGUAUUUGGACCUCUCACUGCCAAAGUCAUGAAUAGUACCAAAAAUUAAAACGAUCGAUCUAAUUCAUCAACUUUAAUCAACAAACACUACACGUAAAUGUAGAACUACAAAUAUUUUAAACAUGUAAAAGCAACUCAUGGAUAACAAAAAUACAAAAUUAAUCUACAAAAGCAAAAAGUGGUGAAACGGUUUCAUCAAUUUCAAAUCUAGAUCAAUCCCGACAAGAACCAACAUAAUCAGCCAAUAAUGUAUAUGAACAUUUGCCUCCUUGAAUCCAUGGGACCUUACAAUGUGGGAACCCAACUGAUUUUUUAGCACAAGAAGUGUCAUUUCUUUGAUUUUGGAGUAAUAGUUGUUUUUUCCUGUCAAUUAGUUAUCUGUUUUUUUUUUAAUUAGCUUAUGAAAAAAUGGCUUUAAGGAUAAUGCAAAUGAGGCAUCUUUCAAGGGCAUAUGGAAUGUGUCUCCCAUCGUUUCAAUGACUUUUUUUAAUUACUAUGAUCUUCUACAUCUCUCAUCUUGCUUCAUGAAUUUCAUUUACAAAUUUCUCAUUAACUAAGGCCUUUAGCAUCAUGCCCAUUUUUUAGUAAUCAGAUAUUACAAUUUUACGCUUGCUUAAAUGAUGAGUUUUAUUAUAGUACUAAUAGUUAUCUAAACCUACCACAUGAUGACUCAGCCUUUUGCCUAAAAUCUGAUAAGACUGCCUUAAUAUGUAAACCUAAGUGGAAGAUUUCUGUAAAGUGAACUCACACCUUUAUCUUUGGUAGAUGAAGGAAUGAAUGGAAGAAGAUAACCAACUUUUGCACUACAUGUAUGAUUUGUUCAUGUGAUUUAUCAUGGGUAGUUUAGCUAGUUCACAAAACUCAAUCCAUUGGAGUGACACCGGAUUACAGUUUAGGCCUCCUUUUACACCAUCUGUCACAAGCAGGAUGCCUGCAUAUGAACCUUUGCCUCAUUGACUCCAUGGGACCUUACAUUGUGGGAACCCAACUGAUUUUUUGGCAUCUUUCAUUAACUGGAAAAUAAAAAUAAAAACAAAAAGAAAAACACUAUAAUUAUCCUGUAAUCGUAUAAUAUUCGAUUUAACACUAAAACCCUAAAAUUCCUGACCCCAAAAUUCGAUGUAACACUAAAACCCCCAAUUUCUAAUUUAAUUUUCCAGAUUGAAUCUAAUUACAAUACCAUAAUCUUCAAGUUAAGGCAUUAAAGCUGAUUCUGACCUUAGAAAGAAGAAAAAUAAAGAAUUAAGAAAAGAUAGAUACCUGGGUCAUUCUUCAACGUGCUGCUGCCUGCUGGCUGGGUGUAGUUGGGAUGGAUGGAAAGAAGAUGAGGAGAGAGACUAAGUGAGAGAGGGGGAGAGAGACCGAGUGAAAGAGAGGGAGAGAGAAGGAAGAGAGAGACCGAGUGAGAGAGAGGGAAGAUAGACGUAGGUAUACAUUUUUACAAAUGGCCUAUUUUUUAACAAUUGGGAAAGUUUAAAAGAACCGCCUAUUGUAAACAAUUGCCCCGCCAAAAUUUUAACAGUGGCGCGACGCAUGUGCACAUUUUGACGUCGCACAAAACGUUUUUGCGCAACGACCACAUUGUGGCGUCGCGCAAGGUACUUUUUUUAUAAAAAAAAUUAUUAUAAAAUUUACUAAAAAUGUAAUUUUACUUUCUUCAAAUUCAAUUUUUUUACAUAAACCCCACAAUAAUAUAUUUUUUCUAACAAAAAGCCGACCCGAACUACAAUAAUAAAUUUAAAACUACUUAAUAAAUAUGCAUAUCAUUCAAUUUCUUAAGUGUUACACGUACAACCGUCAAACUUGUACGAAACUAGUUUCAACGAUCCAACUGUCAAACUUGUUUGUAUAUAUUUUGAGAUCGCAUACGCCAAAAAUCACAAAAAAAAAACAUUCAGAUAUCAAGUAACGGGACAAAAAAUUUCUACGGUUAUAAACGAAAAAUCAUGAUUUAACGGUUAUUUUAACUUCGAUUUUGAUUAUUUUUUGCAUCUACACUCCUUGACCCUAUAUGAAUACAAUGAACUAAUUCGAUCAUCAAUUUAAAACAUUUACAGUAAUGGAUACCACAAAAUCUUAUGUUAUACUUAAUAAAAGUAUAAAUAAACUCUUAAAUGUUAGUGAAUCUAUUGUUUUGAUGUGAUACAAAUUCUACCAAACUAAUUUCAACGAUCCAACCGUCAAACUUGUUUGUAUAUGCUUCAAGAUCUCAUACGCCAAAAAACACAAAAAACAAACAUUUAGAGAUCAAGUAACGAGACAAAACUUUUCGACGGUUAUAACCAAAAAAUCACGAUUUAAUGGUUAUUUUAACUCCGAUUUUGAUUAUUUUUUACAUCUACACUCAUUGACCCUAUGUGAAUACAAUGAACUAAUUUGAUCGUCUAUUUAAAACAUUUACACUAGUGGAUACCACAAAAUCUUAUGUUAUACUUAAUGAAAGUAUAAAUGAACUCUUAAGUGUUAGUGAACCUAUUGUUUUGAUGGGUUACACAUUGUACCAAACUAAUUUCAACGAUCCAAUUGUCAAACUUGUUUGUAUAUGCUUCAAGAUUGCAUACACCAAAAAUCGCAAAAAACAAACAUUCAGAUAUCAAGUAACGGGACAAAACUUUUUGACGAUUAUAAACAAAAAAUCACGAUUUAACGGUUAUUUUAACUCUGAUUUUGAUUUUUUUUUACAUCUACACUCCUUGACCCUAUAUGAAUACAAUGAACUAAUUCGAUCGUCAAUUUAAAACAUUUACACUAAUUAUACUAAAUGAAAGUAUAAAUAAAUUCUUAAGUGUUAGUGAAUAUAUUAUUUUGAUGGGAUACGCAUUCUACCAAACUAAUUUCAACGAUCCAACGGUCAAACUUGUUUGUAUAUACUUCGAGAUCGCAUACGCCAAAAAUCGCAAAAAAUAAACAUUCAGAGAUCAAGUAAUGGGAGAAAACUUUUCGACGGUUAUUAACGAAAUUUAACGAUUAUUUUAACUUUGAUUUUUAGGAUUUUUUACAACUACACUCUUUAACCAUAUAUGAAUACAAUGAACUAAUUCAAUCAUCAAGUUAAAACAUUUACACAAGUGGAUACCACAAAAGAAAAAGGCAACGCAAGAACCCCAAAAAAAAAAAAAGACUUUGCACGACGUAGGUGCCACUGCGUCGCGCAAAACAGAUUUGCACGACGCAAGUGCACGUACGUCGCACAAAGUUGGCAAAAAAGCGGUAAAGCAUUCUUUGUUUGGCGUCAAGAUCUUGCGCGACGCACAAAACGUCGCGCAAACAGCCAUUGUACGACGAAUGAUGGCGUUGCGCAAAGCUGUUUUACGCGACGCAGGAACUUACGCAUCACGUAAAGGUUGUUUGCACGACGCCAGUCUUCGUCGCGGAAAGGCUAUUUGCGCGAUGUUUUGUUUUUGCGUCGCGCAAAGUUUGUUUGCGCAAUGAAAUUUGCUCCAUCGCGCAAACAUGUUUUUCUACUAGUACAGGUUAAAACUAGAAACAAUGAAAUAAGGGAAAAUUCGGUUCAAAAAGGACACUUAGCUUUGAAAGGAAUUGAAGCUGCCAGCUGGAACCAAAUCUUUGAAACCAACCCUUGGUUUAAGCGUCCCUUCAUGCCUCCUCGCUUCUUUAAGAGUAGUUCCAGCGUGGGAGCACCCCAAGCAAUUCACUAUUUAAUCCACCCAGUGAACAGUAAAUGCCCUUAAUGAACAAUAACUGCCUUUUGCAUCUUCAGUGUGGGAGCGCUCCCCCUGGCAAUAAGCAAUAAAAUAUUAAUAUUUUUUAUUUAUAAAAUAAUACAAAAUAAUUUUAUUUGUAAUUUCGGAUAAGAUUUUUAAUCGUUCUCGUUGUACCACGUGUCAUAAUCUGAAAAGUUAUAAAAUAAUUUUAUUUGUAAUUUCGGUUAAGAUUUUUAAUCGUUCUCGAUGCGCCACGUGUCAUAAUCCGAAAAAGACAAUUAUAGGUGAUGGAUUUCCAAUAAGAUUUUUAAUCGUUCUCGUUGUGCCACGUGUGAUUAUCUGAAAAUACAAUUAUUGGUGAUGGAUUUCUGAUAAGAUUAUUAACCAAUCAUGUCGCGCCACGUGUCAUAAUCUGUUUACAAUCUUUGAGGAUAGAUUUCCAUCAGAUUUUUAAUGAAUGACGGCAUGCCACGUGGCAUUAUCUACAACUUAAUCCUUUCUGAAUCCUCCAUAUAAUCCACCACCCAUCAUCACAAAUCUCACACCAAUUUUCUCAAGAUCUCUAUCAUUAUUCAUAGUUUCUGCUUCCUUAUUCACCUAAAUCUCUAUCAUUAUUCCUAGUUUUUGCUUCAUUCUUACAAUGUCUUCUUCUUCUUCAAGGAUGAUAUGGGAAAUCAAUCAGCAAUAGGAAUAAUUGUUUAACCAAUCAGAAGGAAUGUUCAAAUGUCAGGCGGCCCAAAAUGAGAGGGAAGAGGAUGAGGGGCGUAGACGGAGAGACGACGAAUCAAGAAUGGCAAGAGCCUCACAUUUCCGUCAAGUCAUCCAAUCUGUGGGUCAAAUUUGCAGGCCCAGCCGUGCUGUAAACAUUGAUAGAAGCAGGCAACGACAAGGUCAGGAUCUCUUGGACGAUUAUUUUGUCUGUAACAGUGCAUUCCCUGAUACGUACGUUAGACGUCAUUUUAGAAUGGAAUGACAUUUGUUCAACAAAAUCAUGGACGUUUGCAACCAUGAUUCUCACUUUGUGCAAAAGCCAGAUGGUUUUGGUGCGAUGGGUUUCCUACCUGAGCAAAAAAUUAUUGUUGCCUUGGGGAUGCUUGCAUAUGAAACAUAUGCAAACUAAGUCGACGAGACAGCGAGGAUGGGAAAAUCAACCAUCACUACAAAAAAAUGGGCCUUUUGGGACGAUCAAAACGCGUCACGACAGCAUCUAAAAGCGUCGUAAUAGUCCUUUUACGACGGGCUUACAACGAUCAAUAACGCAUCGCAACAAAGUGAUGUCGUAAAUGUUUGGUCUAUUAUAUGUGACGCAUGAGCAUAUCGCAAGUACUAUUUACUAUGGGCUUGCAACGGCUACCAACGCAUCGCAAAUAAGUGGCCUCGGGUUUAAAAAAAAAUAUUGGGCGUCAAAUGGGACGCCACAAUUAUAUUAUUUUAACAACUUCACUAAAAUUAUUUUAUGUGAAAUUUACUACAGGUUCCAAACUAAAAUAAAUUAUGUAAAUUUCUAUAAACUACAUAAGAAUUGUUAUUAGUAAUGAACUAUAAAUUAGGUAAAUUAUAAUACAAUGUAUGAAAGCAACACUACACUUGUACUUAAAGUCAGUUGAAUGGUCGUAUCAAUUAUAGUAUUAUACACCAACGACAUCAUGUAGUCUUUAUCUAGAACCUGCAACAAGUGACAUACAAAUUGCGGAGCUCCUGACACAUAUGAACACACAGCGCUAGAAAUGGACUUCAAAGCUCUUGACACAUAUGAACACACAACGCUAGAAACAGAUCGUGAAGCUCCUGAAACAUAUGAACACACAGCAUAAGUAAAAUUAUACAUGUCCAACUUGUAGGGGAGACAAAGUUGACACUAAUAUCACCUGCUUUGAAUAUUUCAGCUUUCCAUGGAAUUCAUUGUAAUCUCCCUCUUUAAGUGCCCUCAAACAACUGAAUUUUACAAGAGGUAACACAACAUUUUCUUAGAUACUUAAACACUAACAUAUAUUACGAUUUCUUCACUUAUAUGGGACAUUCCUAUUGCAAAUGGUAUAUCAAGUAUAUCAGAAAAACUGGUACUUGUAGAAUUAAACUUUCAAGAAAAAUGGCUAACCAGAAUGUCAAACAUGUCCAUUGCAUAUAAAUCCUUGGCAAUACAAAUCCAGAUCAUGCAUACAACUAGUUUGCUGCAAUGACCCAAUCAAACCUUUAUACGGUUUCCUCUGCCUCAUUGCAUUUUCCAAUAUGGGUGUGGAUAAACGAUAUGUUGAUUGAGUCUCUUCCACUGACAAACUUCUGGAACCAAAAUCCAUAGUACUCAAGGGCCUUACUCCAGUUUUCCUCAUGCUCGAAGGUAAUGAUAUGAGAGCUCAACCUUCAAUACCAUCACCACAACACAAGAAAAAAAAACAUAUCCAAAUAUAAGAAUAUUCAUAUGUUUUGAAUAUAAUUUAUCUUUGGGACCUUGGACAGUACUAUACAGAGCCAUGCUUACGAAUGAUAGUGUUUACCUACACAGGGACAUCCUCAAAGCAGAGUGAUUAACCAAACUCUCCACCAUACCCUGAAUGAAUUGGAAACCUAGUUGAAAUUACACAUUUCAUCUAACUCUGGGACCAAAAAUUGAUCAAAUUUUCACAAUGAAGAUAAGAGCAUUCUACCCAAGCACUAAUUAAAUGGAGAAUUCAAUUUCCCCCGAACUUCUUUCUGGUCCAAAUGUUCUAACAGUUCAAAAUCAAUUUUCCUAAUCCAAACAGCAGUACACUAACAUUGACCCUAUUUUGCUGUUCUACCCAACUUAAGGACAACUAGUCUUCUCAGUAUAUUCGAACUAUGCACUCAUUGAAAGAAGUACAGUCACAAUCAGAUUUAUACUAGCAAAUUUCAGUUCCAUAAUAAUCAAAUUCUAUCACAUAUUUUCAUGAUUAUAAAUACUAAAAUAGAAGAUAAUUGGUAAAAUUAAUACCUUGCAAAUAGAAAAUUCUCAAAUUCCACUGCACAGCAUGAUCUCCCAAUUUCGCAACUUUCUGAUACAAAGCGAUGACCUUCUCCUUGAGACCUCUCCGCAGUAUAUGAGCCUGGCGUCCACCAUAGCCAUGGGGGACCUAGAAGCUGCACUCCUUAGAAACGCGUCGAGCGCUUUGUCCGUAUUCGGACUGACUCAUCCGCGGCUGUGCUUGAACCGCUUCCUCCACCGCAUGUACAUCAUCACAUGCCUCAGCUACAGCAGCGCCUCGCACCAAGCCUUGCACACCAACAAUGGCGCUCAGGCUUGGAUGGCUGAGCGUCAACUCGAUUCAGCAAGCAUAAAAAUCAAUUCAAAAAGAAAACCCUAAAAAUUACUUAACUUACUGAAUCGGAAAAGAGGGAAGAUGGUUGUAGUGUCUUACAAAAUCUCCGAUUGUGCUCUGGGAUCUCAAAUUUUGCUCCAAAGUUUCCGAUGAUUCCCCCAAAAUCUCUGAUUGGAUAUAUUAGGCCUCUUAUUUUUCAGUUGAAUAGGAAAGUGGAGAAGGUGCAGGAAGAGAAUGAUGAUUCUAGAGAAUGAAAUUGAAGGCGCGCUGGAUUGUUUUCAUCUGAAAAUAAAGCGCCUAAUUGAAAAAUUAAAGAAUUUAGGCGCUAAAUUUUAUUUUGUCCUUUAGGAUGUCACAAAUUUUACUUAGCGUCGCUUAUAUUGUUAUUUACGACAUUAUUUGUGACGUUACUUGUACAAGAGUCGGGAAUACUUUUGAGCUAACAUUUAGCGCUAAAAUUUUCUUUUAUUUACAACGGCCAUGUUAUCUGUCGCAAAGGGCCUUUUUUUUUAGUGCAUUCUUAAGUCUCUGAUGAGAUUUUCCUUAGCAAUCGAAUCUAUCUACACCGCAGAGUACCUCCGGACACCUACUAAUAUGGACUUGGAAAAGCUUCUGAAGAAGGGCGAGAUGCGAGGUUUUUCAGGGAUGAUUGGAAACAUUGACUGCAUGCACUGGACUUGGAAAAAUUGUCCAAGUGCAUGGCAAGGCGAUUAUGGGGAUAGAAAAGGAUCAAAAAAUAUCAUUUUGGAGGCGAUGUCAUCUUUUGAUACAUGGAUUUGGCACGCUUUUUUCGGUGUUCCGGAAGCUCAAAAUGACCUCAACAUCCUCCCCCAAUCCCCAGUGUUGAACGAUGUCCUGCAAGGAAAUGCACCAAAAGUCACGUACUGGGUCAACGGAUGUAUGUACGAUUGGCCAUACUACCUAGCAGACGGCAUUUACCCAAGGUGGGCAUCGUUUGUCAAAACAGUGCCACGUCCACGAAGUACAAAGGAAAAACACUUUGCAAGCUGUCAAGAAGGGUGCAGGAAGGAUGUGGAGCGUUGUUUUGGUAUCCUCCAAGCUCGAUGGACGAUUGUCAGGGGUGCUGCCAGAAUGUUUGAUGUAUAGUUGCUUCAAUCCAUCAUAUUGACGUGCAUUAUUCUUCACAAUAUGAUUGUGGAAUAUGAGUACGAUUAUGAUGCCGUUGAAUAAUAUGAGCCAGACACGAUGAACAAUUCAAGAACACGUAUAUAUUGUGCUCAUGACGCCACCGAAGAACCCGUGCAACAUGAGCCAUUAGAAAGGGAUGGACGUUACAAUGAAUUGGUCAUUCAACGAUAUGCUGCACUUCAAAGGCCAUAUAUGCACAAUGUUCGGCUAAAUGACUUGAUAGAGCACCAAUGAGCAUUGAAACAAGCUGAAGAUAAUUAAGUUCAUUUAGUGUGUUUAUUUAAUUUUAGUUGGUGUGUUUUUUUUAGUUCAUUUUUAGAGAGUUUUUUAUUAUUUGGUAUGUUUAUGUAAUUUUAUUUGGUGUGUUUUUGUCAUUUGAAUAAAUAUUCUCUUAGUAUAAAUAACUUACCAAAUUAAAUAAAUUUACUCUCACCUUAAAUAAAGUACUAAAUUCAAUAAAUUGGAAACAACAUAAAGUACUCUAUUCAAUAAAUAAUAAAUUACAACCCAAAUUGAUUGGAAAAUUAUGGGCUCUGAUUACAAAAACUACUAUAUUCAUCAUCACUUAACCAAUUUGUGGUGCUAGAAUGAUCUUCUCUUGUCGUGCUAGGACCAUCUUCUUUUGCACGCCUCCUUCGCACCACGUCCGCUUUCUCCGACUUCCAAAAAUAUUUAGAAUUUAGAGACUUCCCUUUUAAAGGCAUGUUCAUAAUUUCAUAAUCUCGUUGAGCCAUUCUUUCUUCUCUAACCUAUUCCCCUUCUUGCCUAAGUAUCUAUCUUUCUCUCUGAUUAGCUUGAAAUUCUCUCUCAAUAGCUGCAGUUUUUGCCUCCUCUCUAGCCUUAUCAGCCUCAAAUUUCACCAUUUCCCGCGCCAAAGUCAAUUCACCUUGGCGAGCAUGUUCUUCCAUGUAUUUUGCAUAAUCAUUCUUGGAAGCACUCCCUUUUCUCUUUGAAGCCUUCUUACCUUCAGGCCUAAUUGGAUAACGGGUUGAACCCGACGCUUGUUUAGGGAAGGGUGUUUCAGGCACUUCUUCUACAUCAUCUUCAUGAACAUGCGAGCCAUGAUCGGGUGUAGAGUGUAAAUAGGUGUUGUUCAUGAAAACUUCUGGACUGACAUGCACAACUCUGAAUUUAGGACAAUCUUUGACAAUAUUCCAACAUUCCCACCAAUUGAAUGAUUUCUUUUUGCUUUUGGUUUUGGCACCAUACCAAGCUUGUGCUUGAAGUUGCUACACAAUGCGGGAUAAGAAAUAAUUAUAAUGAAAGUAGGUAACAAAUAAAUAAUACAAACAAAUAAUUAUAAUGUAAAUUUGGGUAUAGUACAAACAAAUAAAUAAUAUAUUGCUACCUAAUCCAUGUAAUUUUCCCUAUUUCGAAGAUUAGUACUACCUUGUGCCAAGGCGUCUAUCAACAUACUAAACGAUUGGCUAAGUAAUUUCCAACUACUGGACAUCGAUUCUUUGGUUCUUUUCACACUCAUUUUCUCAAGAAUAAGACUCCACAUUUCUCGCAACUGCAUCUUAUUACCCGCAAGCAAACUAUGAGUAACUUCAACACAGCUAGUAUACAACGCAACAUCUUCAAGAAGCGAUCAAUUUGCACCUACAUCAGUAAUCAUUUUGUUGAAAAAAAUUGGAUUGAAGCUUUGAGAGAAAGAUAUGAAUUUGAUUGAAAGUAGUUGAGAAAAUAUGAAAUUGUGGUGUAAGGUAGAUGAUAAUGAUAAGGUAUUUAUAGAAAAGUAAAAACAAUUUUUUUUAAAAAAAUUCAGAUUUAUUUUCAGAUUUUUUUAAAUUUUUUUAAAAUUUUUAUUGAACUAAUUAAUCUCUGCUGUUGGAUUUUAAAAAAAAAUUGAAUUCCAACACUCCAGAUUGUGCCAUGUGUCACAACGGUAACUUUCCUUAAUUUUAAAACUAUAUUUUCUUUUAUUUAUUUAUUUAUAAAGCAGAUAAUAUCAACCGUUGAUCUCAAAUCCAACGGUUAAUAUUAAAUAAGUUUAUUUUUAUUUUUAUUACCGUUGCAAAUUUAACGGUCCAAUUUAAAGAGUCGUUGAACGGGUCGUGGGAAGCCAUGUGGCUUCCCAACGGUAACAUCGGCAUAUUGCGAAGCAGGCCCCGGCUUCUAAAAAGGUGUCGGCUGACGCGCCCCCAUGCGCGGGUGAGGUGCACGCACCUGACAGAAAAAUAUAUAUAAAAUUGGGCUGACGUUAGGAUGACGUCAGCCUUGGCGUCACAUCCACUCGGGCGAGCGAGCUGGCAAUUCCUCACAGGCCUGUCCCUCGGGCUCCCACACGCUGGAGCACUUUAAUCGGGCUAUCUGGCCCUGUUCACUCUCCUUCCCCCCGAGCACCAGCUCACGCUGGAGUUGCUAUAAGUAGACCUCAUCGAGAAAAAACAAAACCCAAAUUCCGGGCAGCCCUACCUAUUGCUUUGCUCAUCCUACCCCUCACUCUCUCCUCCAACUUUUCCUUCCAGGAGUCCUCCUCUCUCUUCUAUCUGGCAUCGCACGACCCAUCUCUCUUCUCUCUGCCAUCGGACCCCUCCUCCUCUCUCUCUUCUCUCUCGCAUCACACGACACCUCCCAUCUCUUCUCGCUGGCAUCGUUGCAGGUUAGGCCUGCCUGUGUCGGCCAUCCAUUCGAAAAACCCAACCACAAACAAAACCCACCAACCCAGUCAUAGCCCAAAUCCGCAAAGCCCAUACAACUAAACUUUGAAAGAAAAAAAAAAGCCCAGCCGAAAUCCUUAGAGCAAAUGCAUGUCCAUAAAUAGAGUGAAAUUGAGGUCCAAAAACUAUUCAUUUGUACAGUGCAAUUGAAAAGCUUUAUUUAGACUAAAGUAAUAUCAUUGUCAAACAUUUUUCUAAGGUAUUUGAUGCACUUUGAUAAGAAGGAUGAAGAAUAGUAGUAGUUACUAUCAGGUGAAGAACCACAGAACAAUCCUCGACACUUUUAUCAGUCGAAAUAGUUGAGUUAAGGGUUUGCUGGUACUUAAUUUAAAAUAAGUCAACAAUCUUUGUAUUAUUGUCGCUAAUAACAAAUUAAUUACAAUUAAUUAUAUUUGAUUGGAGAGAUUUUUCAAUGUGAUUGUCACAUAGGAUGGUAUACCACGUGUUAUUAUAUAAAUAAUGGGAUAUAUGUGCCAAAAUAUUAAUAACUUAAAAUAUAUAAUUUUUCACUACUUACAUAAAAAUACAUAAUGUAUCACCGUGUUCCAUCACAAUUAAAAAUUUGUCGUCGUACUGGAUCAGUGAAUUAGUAACUUCAACAAUAUUCUCUACAGUAUCUUAUUCCUUUUCCGCGUUGGCGCAUUCACCAGUACCACUCCCACCUUUAUCUGUAAAUUUUGGACACACCAUAUAAACGUUAAAAGAAAAAGGACUGCCCUUUGCUGUCGUUUUACCAUGCAUGCCUGGCAGGGUUGUACUAGUCAUGAACCCAAUCACUUCGAUGUCUACCUCAUCUACAGAAUUCAUCAAUUAACAUGUGGUUUAAUAUCGAUAUUUUGUCAUCAUUUCGUGUCUUUUUUUAUUCUUCCUAGAAAUUUGGUAACGUUAAAAUUGAGUAAAAAUUGAGUAACGUUACUCUUAUCAUAAUUUUACAUUGAAAUUUACUACGACUUUAAGGGAGUGUUUGUUUAACCUUCUUAAUCUUCACUGGAUUGGAUUGGAUUAAGUAUUAGUGUAGUCUUGUGUUUGGUGGCUUGCGGGAUUAACAUUAAUGGCACUAGGUGGGACUCGCUUUCACAAACGGCUUCACUAGCCGGUCUUAGCGAGAGACCCCGAAACCAACGGAACCAGCUAAAACCUUCCAUCGUCCUCGCUUGCCUUCAACCACUCUCGCUGCAUCCAUUAUCGCCUUUGUCUGCUUCGCUGCCCUGGGAAGAAAAUUCCAAUUGGUUGUUGCUGCUUGUAGCGAAGAAGAAGAAGAAAGAGUCCCUGUUAGAAAUCGAAUCAACGGGGAGGAGUGAGAAACUUAGACACAGAGAGAGAGGUCGUUGGGACUGUCGAAAGUCCUCUCCUUUUUUGUUCCGAUAAAAUUUCAUGUUCUAUUCUGAAUGUCGUCUCCGACCUCUCGACUGCGUCCUUUUGGCUGCAGAUUCGAAUUGCAGUCGCUUGGCGCUUGGUGAACAUCGCGAAGAAUAAGAGGGAUAUGCCCUUUUUUGUAUUAAAUUUUCAUUUCUUUUUUGUUGGGUUGGAUUAAAUUAUGAUGUUUUUUGGGUUUUUUUUUUUUUUUUUUUGGGUUUUGACUGGGUUGAAGUUGUAGAGUCUACCUGCAAUUUGAGAAUAAGAAGAGGGAUAUGCCCUUUUUUAUUCAUAUAAUAAUUUUGAUAAUAAUAAAUUAAAAUAUAAUAAUAAUCUAUAGUUAGUUCACAUUCUUAGUCGGACACUGCACCAAACGCUUCACUAAGUUAGUACAACUUAGUCUAGUUUAAGUCAGUCCAGCUUAGUCCCUGCAGCUAGUCCAGUCCGUAAUAGUCCGGUACAACAAACGCACCCUAAAUGGCCUAUGAGUUGAACUUGCCUAAUUAAGUUUUUAAAUUUCAUAUACUUUUAAUUGAAAUUCUAAAUCAAAAUUAAAUUGAUUGCCUUUUUUGGGUUUCCUUCUCCCACUCUAUCUCCAUUCAUAUCUCGAGCUGAUCCUCGCGGCCUCAAUCCCACCCCUCAUUACCCUUUAAUUAUUCCCUUUCCCAUCUCCACUCUCACACAGUCACACUUCGUCCAAACUCGAAUGACAAAAAUUGAAAAAAAAAACAAAAAAAAAAUCCCAGAACCAUGGAUUUUCAUCUCUUGUGAUUUUUCCUUUUUUUGCUGACAAUUUUUUUUUUCAAAUUUUGUGGUUUAAAAGGAGACGAUCAAAUGCCCGCAUGUAAAAUAGAAAUUCUAGCAUUUGAAUAAUGUUAACAAAAGAAAGUGAUGAUGGCAUUGACAAGAGGCAGGGAGGUACAUAAAAUAGGGUUUGAUUGAUUCCUUAAUCUUGAGAAGCAAGAUGACGAUGACAAGAGGGUGGGCGGAAGAUACAACGAGGACAAUUAUAAAUUAGGGUUUGAAUUUCUUAAUUUUUAUAUUAUUGAAAAUCAUAGUUAUUUUUUAAUGUAUGUGAUUAUUUACCUCAUUUGUCAUAAUUUUUUUUUGUCAAAUUACUUUAAUUAUGCGUCGAACCACAAUAUUAUAUAUUAUAUUUUAAACAUUGCAAUACUUCCUCACACAUUUUCACAUGAAACAAUACUCAAACUAAUUACACGGAUCAACUUGAUUUCCUAAAAAAGUUGAGAUUUUACGCAGCCUAAAAUUAAUAUAAAGAAAACGAGUUUCGUUUAUUUUUAUGGAACACGACACUCUAAUUUUUUUCAAAAAAUCAUGAGACAAAUUGCAGCCAUGAGCCACGUGAACCUAAUAACUUCCGUCAAAGGACAACUCUGACUCGACCUCAUCCUCAAUGGAGCUAUGAAUAAUAUGACUUUAAAAUAAUAAGGUUUGUGAAAUGUCAUGGUGACAGUCAAAUCGUAUAGAAUCGAUUAGUACAGAGAGUAGUGGGAUCUUCUUAGGAUACCCCUACAAUUCGUCCUGUGUCUAUUGUCUACAACCUAUUCGACCUUGAACCUAAUUUAAUUCCGUAUCAAACGGCCCGUGGGUGUGUUUUUGUAAAAUCGUGUUUGUCUAUUUUCAUUAAUAUAAAAAAAAUAUCUUAAAAAUUUUAGAUAUAUUUUUCAAAAAGAAACGAUAGUAGAUUCAUUGAUUGAAAACGUCAUUACAUGGUUUGAAGUACAAGAAGCCUCGUUGCAGCACACAUUCACACUCCUGGCUCAAAGAGAGACAAAACGUGCUAGCCUAUGGACAACAGAGUUAGCUUGGCGGUGAGUAUGGUAAGAAUAGCCUCAGUGAUUGAUAGGAGCAACACCUUGAUAUCUUCCAUAAUCUGUCCAACUGAGAAUAGAUUGAUAGACGAUAAGGAAUGGGUUUAGCAAAGAAUGUGUCAAAAAAUGGAUGUCCCCAGAUGCCAACCCUAUGGCACACACUUUGAAGGGCUCACUCCGUAACAUUUUCAAGGAUUCAAACCGUCUAUAUUUCAAUUCAUCAUUCAUAUACAUCUUUGCAAAAAAUUAAAAAGAUCCAAAAUCAUUAAUACAUUAAUUUGUAAAGAAGAAAAAGGUCAAAUACAUUUGGCAAAGAAAUGCGAGAUGACAAUCAUUUAGUUCAACAAUCAAAUGAAUUCGGAUUUGGAUGAUUUUUCGUACACAUGAUUUAUGAGGAAAUACCUAACUCUAUCUCUAUGUAUAUUAUUUCUCGGUACAAUUAAAGCAAUCAUUUUUAUGCAACUAGUGGACAGUGAUGAAGUUAGGAAUUAGUAGGAUGAGGGGCGAAUUUAAAAGAGUGCAAAAUUCCAAAAAAAAAAAAAGGCGCUACACAUUGGUUAUCGGGAUUCGGCCCAAGACGUAAGGCAAAUUAGGAAAGAAAAUAGACGGGCACCUAAAGGUGUUAGGCCGCAACUAGAGCGCCUAGUUGGGAGCUGAAGGCUCAGGAGGUCCGAGCAUGGUUGAGAAAGGAAAGACGCACGGACUUUGUUUUUAAUCUAGAGAAGGAACACAACUAUUUUCCAAGGAAGAAGACAAGCAGAUGGGAACUUUUUCUGCCAAUCCCACGUGAAAAACCUUGCCUAUUGUUAAUUUGUGCAAAGCAUGCUACAAAGAGUUUUCCCAUUAUAAAUUCAAAGGAAAACUAAUGAAAAGAAUUUGAAAGUUUUGAGUUUUAACGAUUAGGAUAAAAUAAAGGGUAAAGUGAAUAGUACUAUAAUUGACUUUUUAAUGUAAAAAUAUGAUUUUUCGUUAAAAUAAACAGUACCGAAAAUUUUUCGUUAAACUUCUCUAAAUUCAAUAGUUCUCAGAAGGACGAAUUGUAGGAGUAUCCUAAGAAGAUCCCACUGUAUUUUGAAAAAGAGAGAUCAGAGAUGAAGAAAAAAGCCAUGGUUGGUAUUUGAAGAAGGGACGUCCUUGCAAAAGUGUUUCACACAGAGGGCGCAUUUGGGUCUGUUACCAUGUGCAUAAGCUGCCAUGAUUUGUCCAAAAAAAAAAAUAAAAAAAGCUGCCAUGACAAACACGUGCACAAUCUUUCACUUUCUGUACUAAUCGAUUCUAUACGAUUCGGCUGUCACCAUGACAUUUCAUAAAACUUUAUUAUUUUAAAAUUCAUAUUAUUCAUGAAAAUUUUAACGAAAAAUUCUUGAUACUGUUCAUUCUAACGAAAAAUCAAAUUUUUUUAUUAAAAAGUCAAUCCUUAUAUUAUUCAUUUUACCCUUUAUUUUAUCUUUAUCAUUAAAACUCAAUAUUUUCAAUUCAUUUUCAUUAAUUUUCUUAUUAUUUAUAACACAAUUGAAGAUGAGGUCGAGUCAGAGAUGUCCUUUGACAGAAGUUAUUAGGUUCACGGGGCUUAUGGCUGCAAUUUGUCUCAUGAUUUUUUGAAAAAAAAAAAAUAUUUUGUGAAAAAAAUUAGAGUGUUGUGUUCCAUAAAAAAAUAAUGAAACUCCUUUUUUUUUUAUAUUAAUUUUAGAGUGCGUAAAAUCUCAACUUCUUCUAGGAAAUCAAGUUGAUUCGUGCAUUUAAUUUGAGUAUUGUUUCAUGUGAAAAUGUGUGAGGAAGUAAUGUUUAAAAUAAAAUGUAUGAAAUUGUGGUUCGACAUAUAAUUAAAGUAGUUUUAUGUAAUUUGUCAAAAAAAAAAAACUUAUGACAAAUGAGGUAAAUAAUCACAUACAUUAAAAAAUAACUAUGAGUUUCAAUAAUAUAAAAAUUAAGAAAUUCAAACCCUAAUUUAUAACUGUCCUCGUUGUAUCUUCCGCCCACCCUCUUGUCAUCGUCAUCUUGCUUCUCAAGAUUAAGGAAUCAAUCAAACCCUAUUUUAUGUACCUCCCUGCCUCUUGCCAAUGCCAUCAUCACUUUCUUUUGUUAACAUUAUUCAAAUGCUAGAAUUUCAAUUUUACAUGCGGGCAUUUGAUCGUCUCCUUUUAAACCACAAAAUUUGAAAACACAAUUGUCAGCAAAAAAAAAAGGAAAAAUCACAAGAGAUGAAAAUCCAUGGUUCUAGGCUUUUUGUUUUUUUAUCAAUUUUUGUCAUUAGAGUUUGGAUGGAGUGUGACUGUGUGAGAGUGGAGAUGGGAAAGGGAACAAUUAAAAGGAAAACUAAUGAAAAUGACUUGAAAACUUUGAGUUUUAACGAUAAGGAUAAAGUGAAUAGUUCCAGGAUUGAAUUUUUAGUGUAAAAAUGUGGUUUUUCGUUAAAGUGAACAAUAUCAGGAGUUUUUCGUUAAAGUUCCCAUAAUUAAAGGGUAAUGAGGGGUGGGAUUGGGGCCGCGAGGAUCAGCUCGAGAUAUGAAUGGAGAUAGAGUGGGAGAAGAAAACCCAAAAAAAAAGGCAAUCAAUUUAAUUUUGAUUUAGAUUUUCAAUUAAAAAUAUAUGAAAUUUAAAAACUGAAUUAGGCAAAUCCAACUCAUAAGCCACUUAAAAUCGUAGUAAAUUUCGGUGUAAAAUUAUGUUAAGAGUAACGUUACUCAAUUUUAACGUUACCAUAUUUCUAGAAAAAAAAAAAAGACCUACUAGACCGACCCCAGUGUCUUAUUUUCCCACUCAAAUGAUAAUCUUACCCACCAUAAAAAAUUAAAAAAGUAAAAUGUUAUUUCCCCACCCACCAUUAUUCCCAAAAUAACCAUAAUAAUUUUUUUAAAUAACUCUAAUAUAUCUUUAAAUAAUAUUAUAAUUAAAUAAAUAAAAAUAGAAAAAAUGAAAGAAAAUGCAAGACCUAAGACCUAGGGCCGCCCUACAGAGAUCCCGGACCCCCAAACCACUAUUCUUCCUCCUUUUUUGUCAAAACUGCAUAUCUCACACUCAAUUCUCUUUUUUCUCCAUUGAAGUUUCUCGCCUUCGUCCAGCACACGCUCAUUCCUUCCACCAACAUUUCCGUCGAUUCUAACCCAAAUCUUUCCCAACCUCUUUCCCCCAAAGAUAUCACACCCCACCCGCCAUUAUUUAUUUAUUAUUUUAAAUUAUUUUUUGUCUUUUCAAAAUUUUAGUAUUGAAUUAAAUAGGGGUUUAAGAGUCUUCUUUUAAAAGGUUAAAUAUUUUAUUAACAUUUUUAUUAAAUGGUGAGUGGAGAAAUAAGGCAUCUGGACGAUGAAAAAAUAAGACAUCUGGAUGGAAAUAUAACCACUCAAAGAAAAAAAAAAACACGAAAUGAUAAACAAAAUGUCGAUAUUAAACCACAUGUUAAUUGAUAGAUUCUGUAGAUGAGGUAGACAUCGAAGUGACAUGACGAGCACAACCCUGCCAGGCAUUCAUGAUAAAACGACAGCGAAGGGAAGUGCUUUUACUUUUAACGUUAAUAUGGUGUGUCCAAAACGUACAGAUAAAAGUUGGAGUGGUACUUGGUGAAUGCGCCAACACGGAAAAAUCUCUCCAGUAAGACAUAAUUACUUGUAAUUAAUUUGUUAUUAGACACAAUAAUACAAAGAUUGUUGACUUAUUUUAAAUUAAGUACCAGCAAACCCUCAACUCAACUAUUUCGACGGACAAAAGUGUCCUGGAUUGUUCUGUGGUCCUUCAUCUGAUAGUAACUAACCACUACUAUUCUUCAUCCUCGUGACGGCCAGCUGGUCUGCACAUCAGAGUGGAUCAAAUACUUUAGAAAAAUGUUUGAAAAUGAUAUAUUUAGACUAUAAUUGCAUGUGAUUUAGUAUCUCCUCCCUUAAUGAAACAAUUUCGAAUCUCCCCUCUCCUUAGUAUUAAUAAUUUUUAAAAGAAGUUUUUGAACUUUAAUUCUUAAAGAAUAUUAAAAUUUAAUAAAAAUCUGACGUUAGAUUACACAUUAAUUUUAGUCCCUUAAUAUGAUGUUUGUUUCUUCACACAAAUUACGAUGUUUCCAUUUUCUAUCACAACUUACCAAUGAUACUCAAAGUUCUCUUACUGAUCAGUCCAUAGAAGAUAAAAUAAAGGGUUCUUUAGAUAUAAACUAAAUUUGUAAACAUAAUAUGUAAACUAAUGAUUGGAUUAUUAUUUAAAUGUUGAUAAACAUGCUUAUUUAUUAUUGGUAACACAUCCUUUAAUUUGUAAACUUAAUCUAGCAUUACUCCAAUAUUAAUUAUGCAUACACAUUUUUAGUGUGAGGUCCCCCAUUUUCCACUAUAAAAACAUCACACUCCCAUUUCCUUAUGAAUUGCAGAGUGCAAAAGGAAAACCAAUUCAGCCAUGACUUCAUCUCCCUUACCACCAACUUCUACAAUGGCCGCCCUGCACUCCACCACCACAACCACCCUCUUCCGCUCUCCUUUAUUCCCAAACAAGUCCCAGACUCCACUGCAACGAAAACCCAAACAAUGCCUUGCGGGCAGAGUGCGCUGCAAAGCAACAAAAGGUGACAAUGAUAACCUAGACCAGGGCUUAGCAAGACUCGACAGGAGGAACAUGCUGAUAGGUUUAGGCACUGGGGGUCUCUACAGUGCGGCAGGAAACUCAUUUGCUUUUGCAGCACCGGUAUCCGCCCCAGACCUGACCACAUGUGGCCCUGCCGACAAGCCAGACGGGUCCACCAUCGAUUGUUGCCCACCCAUCACGACCACCAUCAUCGACUUCAAACUCCCCGACCGAGGCCCACUCCGCACAAGGAUCGCUGCCCAGGACGUUGCAAAAAACCCUGCAUACUUGGCUAAAUACAAAAAGGCCAUCGAGCUGAUGCGGGCACUUCCAGAUGACGACCCGCGCAGUCUCGUCCAACAGGCCAAAGUCCAUUGCUCCUACUGCGACGGUGGAUACCCACAAGUCGGAUAUUCAGAUUUGGAGAUCCAAGUUCACUUCUGUUGGCUAUUCUUCCCGUUCCAUCGUUGGUACCUCUACUUCUACGAGAAAAUCAUGGGCGAGCUCAUUGGGGACCCAACCUUCGCCCUCCCCUUCUGGAACUGGGACGCGCCAGCUGGCAUGUACAUUCCUGAGAUUUUCACCGAUACGUCGUCAUCCCUCUACGACCAGAACAGAAAUACAGCGCAUCAGCCCCCGAAGCUCCUGGACUUGAAUUAUGGCGGGACCGACGAUGACGUCGACGACGCGACACGAAUCAAAGAGAACCUAACAACGAUGUACCAGCAGAUGGUGUCGAAGGCCACUUCUCACAGACUAUUCUACGGAGAGCCCUAUAGCGCAGGGGACGAACCAGAUCCUGGCGCCGGAAACAUUGAGACCACUCCCCAUAACAAUAUUCACCUUUGGGUUGGCGACCCAACCCAGACAAACGGGGAGGACAUGGGGACCUUUUACUCUGCGGGGAGGGAUCCGCUGUUUUACUCUCACCAUUCCAACGUGGACCGCAUGUGGUCUAUAUAUAAAGAUAAGUUGGGAGGUACGGACAUAGAAAAUACCGACUGGCUGGACGCAGAGUUCUUAUUCUACGACGAGAAAAAGAAUCUCGUGCGCGUCAAGGUUCGGGACUCGCUCGACACUAAAAAACUCGGGUACGUGUACGACGAGAAAGUCCCAAUCCCAUGGCUGAAGUCGAAGCCGACGGCUCGUAAGUCGACGAAUAAGAGAAAGGCCACAGUUUCAUCUUCUGAUCUUACUACAACGUUCCCUGCUACAUUGUCGGAUACAAUCAGCGUCGAGGUGACAAGGCCGUCUGCGACGAAGCGGACAGCUGCCCAGAAGAAGGCACAUGACGAGGUGCUGGUGAUUAAGGGGAUUGAGUUUGCCGGGAAUGAGCCUGUGAAGUUCGACGUGUAUGUGAACGAUGACGCGGAAUCGCUGGCUGGGAAAGACAAGUCGGAGUUUGCUGGGAGUUUUGUUCACGUGCCGCAUAAGCAUAAGAAAAAUAUUAAGACGAACCUGCGACUGAGCAUUAUGAGCUUGUUGGAGGAGUUGGAUGCGGAGACAGACAGCAGUUUGGUGGUGACUUUGGUGCCGAAAGUUGGGAAGGGGCCAAUCACCAUCGGAGGGUUUAGCAUUGAGCUCAUUAAUACUACCUAAGUAUUAUUUAAUGUUAUUGUUGUUCUUCUUGUUGUUGUUGGGUUGGCUUAAUCGUGUUUUUCUAGCCAAGUAAUCUUGACUGUAAUGUGCUCAUCUACUGCUUAUGUGGCAGAUAACGGUUGGUGUUCCUCGUGAAUAAAAGCACUAUUGUGUUUCGGUGUGUUUAUUUAUUGAAUAAAGAAUUGAUGGUAGAGUUUAAUCAUAAUUUUCCAGAAUUAUUGAUGAUUGAGUUCUCAAAAAAUUAAGAGUAUGUUUGGUAUCUUAUUCAAAAAAAAAAUUUAUCAUUGUACAAAACACUUCUUAAAAACAUGUCCUAAGAACAAUUUUUGUUUAAAAGUCAAAAACUUUUUUGGUAUGAAAUUCGUAAUUGUUUUUAAAGAAAAAAAAAACUCAUCCUAUAAUGUGAACUUGUAAAUUCAAAGAGAGAAAAAAGAAGGAGGGUAGAGAGAAAAAUGGGAGAAGGAAAGAAAGGGAAGAGAAUGAAAUAGGAAACAUCCUAACCCCAUUUUUAUUUAAAAAUUGUUUUAAAGCCUUAAAUGGUGAGCCGGUGGGGCCCACCUUGUUUUACUUUUUUUGUGUUUUCCGGUCUCCCUCUCUCCUCUCUCAGUUCUCUCUCCUGUGUCUCUCUCUCGGACCUCAUCUCUCUCCCUUGCUGCAACUCCUUUUCCCUGAGCAACACACAGCCACGCCAUCUGCUGAGGACAUCACCAUCACAACCUCUGCAAUUUCCUUUCGGCGAGCACCGCCCCUUUCGAGGCCAUUUCCGGACAAACUACAGUGAGUUGGCCAGCGUGUAAGGUAUCAAUCUCUUCAUCUCGCUGAGAACUACAACUUUCCUUUUUGUUUCACUCAAUUUCGUUGAGUAUUGAAGAAGUUAUACUCAUUUGAAUCUUACCCAGUUUCCGGCGACCUCCGAGGCUUUCGAGGCAUUUUCCGGCUAAACCAUGGUGAGUUAGACGUCGUGUGAGGUACCAUUCUCUUCGUCUCUUCAAGGGCUACAACUUUCAUUUUUGAAUCACUUAAUUUUGUGGAGUUUUGACAAAGUUAUGGCCAUUUAAAAUGGGUGUGGAUUUCCGGCCGAAUUUCCGGCUUUCUCUCCCAUUGGGUCCGGCGACCCACCAAACCCAAGGCCUUUGGCCCUUCCCUGCCAAGCCCAACCCUUUUGGUUGUGAGGCCUUUGGGCUGUUAGUGCGUGUGUGUGUGUUUGUGUAGUAUGUGGGAGUGUGUGUGUGAGUGUGUGUUGUGUGUGGAUUUGGGCUUAAGCCCAAACCACCCCUUUUGUACUUAACCUAUCCAAAACCAAAACCCAAUAGGUCAUAACCCUUUUUAACCUAAGCCUAGACCCUAAUCCAGAUUCAAGCCUAAAACCCAUUUGACCUAGUUUGACCGUUGACCCCCGGUCAAUGUUGACAUUUCGGGUUUUUGUCCAGGACCCUUCUUAGGGUAAUUCGAUGUUCUGAAUCCGUUUCCAAUGUCUGUUUUUCCAAAUUCAAUUGCUAUUAUAUAGUUUGAUUUAUUGUACAUUUUUGUAUUUAGGGGCAAUUAUUAUGACUUUUCCAUCUUCGCUUGUGGCGCAGCUUUUGGCAUCUAAGUAUUGUGAGUGGACCCCUUCUAAAAUUUCAUGAUUUUAUAGUUUAAUUGCAUAAAUGAUUAGCAUGCCUACGAGUUUAUGAUUUGAUUUAUGUGAAGUUUGUUUAUUAAAUAUAUUGAUUUUCGUCUCGUGUUUUUUGUGAGGAAUCAAUUGUUGGCCCAUAUUGAGCUAUAUUUUGAUAUAUCGUGUUUUUAUAAAAACCAUGAACUGGUAGACUAUCUGAUGGAUGACGAUAGGAUGCUAGAACAUAUUUUCAAAACCCCUAUUUAUAGUAUAGACGAUGGCUGACUUUAUACUAUGAAGUGGUUAUUUUUUAGAGGCAUAACUAUUUGUGCGUACCUAGUGGACACUAUGCCGCAUGGGGCGAGGAUCUGGUGUUGGCAGUUAGGCCAGGAGAAAUAAUCCCUAGCUACGGGCUAAGGGACAUGGAGCAGGCAUUGGGCCGGGAGUUGGUAAUCUCUGGCUACGGGAGCAGAGACCACGGAGCAGGCAUUGGGCCGGGAGUUAUAUUUGUUCAGUGAUCUUUCUAGCAGUACACCGCGCUUACGAGACGAUCUAUGAAACGUUUACUGUUUUGAUUUCCGCGAUAUGACUUUUGAGAUAUUUUUGGCAUGCUAAGAUUUUUAUUAAAUCCUUCACUUACUAUGCUAGUAGUUUUCACUAUUAAACUUUGGGGAUUAGUAUGUUGAUAACUGUUUUAUUAUUAUUGUAUAUAUGAACUUGGUCCCCUCACCUUUGUUUUGCGUCCCCAUUCAGGACUUAGGAUCAAGGCACCUAAUCCCGACGUCAAGACACUUCCGCAGCAGCAUCUUUGAAUCCUCUCGAUGUAUGACCCAUUUCUUUAUUCAUUCAAUUUUAUCUUAAUUCUUUUUAGUGAUUAGGUUUAGUUGUAUGCUCUGAACACGUUCCUAAAUUAUUAAUUCAUUGUAUUUUAAAUUCAUAACCCUUAUUUAUUUCUUAUUCUUAGCUUUUGUAUCAAUUAAUGGCUUUCGUCACCCUUGGGUGUCGGCCAUCACGUAUCUAUCCUGGUAUUUGGGGAAUAUCAGGGUCGGGGCAUGUCAGAAAGGAGAGUGGAUCAGAAGAGAGAGAGAGAGAGAGAGAAAUAUGAGAUGAUCGAAGGAGUAAGAAAAUUGGAGGAGUGAGAGCAAUGAUAGAGAUAAAAGAUAAGGGAUUAGGUGCGAGAGAAAAGGGAAGAGAGAAAUAGUGAUCUUUAAAAUUAAAAACUCUAAAAACACACUUUUGGUGUUUUUAUGACAUAGGCUAAUUCUUAAGUUAGUUUUGAGUCUAGUUUUUGAAAAGGUUCAUGUCAAACAAGUUUUUAACACUUAAAACUUGAAAACUGAUUUUGAGUUUAAAAAGUUGGAUUCAAAUUGAAUACCAAACAUGCCCCAACGAAUUCUAAUUGUGUAAAAUUGUUUAUAAAACUAGUACACUACGUUGCUAUUAUUGUUGACUAGCAGAGAGCACACAUUUUGUGAAUGUGAACAAUUUCUCUUAAUAAGUGUAUAUUUUAUUAAUAUUACAUAAUUACUGAUUUGUCCUCUUUAUGUAAAUAUUAUGUAUCAAAAGAGAGGGUAAAAUUGAAAAAAUAAGUAUAAAAAGAGGGUAAAAUAGGAAAAAUAGGGAUAUGGUUGUCAUUUUGUCAAAGGGUACAAAAUUACUAUUGUAUUAGCUAGUGACCACCAAGAUUAUGAGAGUGGAUCCCAAGGAUCUUCCAAUCACAUCCAUUCAUCUUGCAUCGUGGGAUCAAUUUUCGUCAGGUACUGUUCAUAUUCAAUUUUAAAUAAAAAAAUUUACAAUAAUUUCUGACCGCACAAUAUAUGAUGAACGAAUAUGAUUUGAGAAUUUUCAAGAUCUUUACAAAGAGAAUCCGACAAGGAUCCUUUCUCUUUUUUUCCCCCCAAAAUUCAUUCCAACCCAUGACCUAAAAUUAACCUAAAACCUAAAACUGAUAUGCGGGUCAAAUACCGGCCCAAUUUUAGACCACAAAACAAAAUGGGCCCCACCAACUGAGAUUGAAACCGGGGCUAUGAAACCCACUGCCCAAAUCGAACUCGCCUACGCGCUGAACGCGCUAGGCAUUUGUUGUGGGGUGACAAACCCACGUGGGGUUGUUCCUCCGGGUGUCAGACCAAUAAGUAGCCCAACGACUACUUUUCUUCAUCCAAUAGCCCAAUUUAAAUGGGUCGUUGGUUAAUCCAAUGGUCCAGGUUCAAAUUAUUUUUUUUUAGUUUUAUAUUGAUAUAUUUGUUGAAUCCAACGACUUAGAUCGAAUAUAAUCAAAUCUAACAGUAAAAAAAAGAUCUAAUGGUCCAAAUUUAAAUCCAAUGGCUAAAAUAAUUUAAAAAAAAUUAUUUAACUUAAAAUUCAACCAAAAACUUUAUAAAUACUUAUGUAUUUGUUUAAACAUCCACACAAAACUCACUUUUCUCCUACAAUUCUUCCAAUUUUUCUUUCUACCAUUUCUUCUCAUUUCCAAAUUUUUCAAGAUGGCAAAAGAGUAUGUUAGAGGUCAUAAUUGGACCUUUGACGAAGAUAUUGCUUUAUGUUUGGCAUGAAUUUCUGUUAGCGAAAAUGGUGUCGUCGGCACAAAUCAAAAUAGAAACGUUUUGUGGGGUAAAAACGUUGAUAAGUUCCAUGAAAACUCCAAUGCCGGUCGAAGGGAAGUUGGUGGUGUUUAUGAUUGGUGGAAGAUUAUCAACAAAGCAUGCACUUUGUGGAAGGGAAGCUUGGAGAGAGCCACGGUUGACAUGCCUAGUGGAAUGGGUGCCUCAGAAAUUGUGAGUUUCUUUGUUGAUAUUUUAGUUGUCAUGUACAUAAUAGUAUUUAGCAACUAAUUGUUUUUAUGUAUUUGUUGCAUAGGGUGACAAAGCAAUGGCAAUUUACAAGAAGAACUACACCAAAAAAUCAAGCUUUUAAGUUGCAUCAUGCUUGGAACAUCCUUAAGGAUUGUCCGAGGUGGCGAACCGAUGCGAACCAACAAUGUGGAAGAUUAUUUCAUAGUGAAGCCCCACCCCCAAAUGAUGUCAAUGAAGGUGUGAAUUUUGCCAACAAUGAAGGUGUCGAACAAAUGACCCUAACUUCUUCUUUUGUAAGGCCACCGGGUAGAGAUAAGCAAAAAGAAGCAAAGAGAAAAGGGAAGUCCCAAGAUGCAAUAUGUGCACAAUUUGCUAGCGAAAUUGCAAGAAUGAACAAAAAUUAUAUCUCUCGGCAAGAAGAAUCAGCCCAAAUGUGUUUGGCCAUGAAGGAAGAAGGGGAUAGGGAGCAAGAAAGGUUCGAAAUUAAUUUGAUGAUGGAGGACCUCGACAAACACACUCCAGAGAGGAAGAAAUACUUACAUGGUAAGCAAAAGGACAUUUUAUGAAGGAAUGACACAAGGAGUAUAUUUCAAGAUGAUGAUUUCAUCUCAAGACUAUCACCCAAGUCCAUCACCAAGUCAAAAUGGUGGAUAUCAUUAUUAAGUAUAUGUAGUUUAUGAGUUUUCGAUUGUGUUAAGUUUAUGUGGUUUAUUAAUUGUUUUUUUUUUUGAAGUUUAUGUGGUUUAUUAAUGGUCGUUUGUAUUAAGUUUAUGUGGUUCAUCAUGAUUUUCAUGUAUUGAUUUAGUGAUUUUUCAAAAUUUAUUGGAAUUUAAAUAUUUUUAGGUUAAAAUGUUCAUAAAAUUAAUUUAGGAUGGUCUACAUAAUUUUUUUUAAAAUAGUUAAUUUAAAAAAAAAUUAGCCUGAAUUCAUUCUUUGAUAAUCUCGGGCUAAAAUUUUAGGCCAAAAUGGUUGGAGCAGAAAAGCUGUUUUUUGGCUAAAACCUAAAUUUUCUAGGCUAAAUAUUUUUAGGUUUUAGGUCAGGGUUAGAGAUGAUCUUAGCUUCUAUGUUGUUGGCGUCUAGUGUAGAAUAAUUAAAAAUGUGAAUCUAAAAAAAACUUUUUUUCGAAGUCUUAACCUCAAUCUUCUAUUCUUAAAAGUUUAAGAUCACUAUAAUUAGUCUAGAAAAAUUCUAAGGAGAUUCUCUUAAAAGUAGAACUCUUUAUGUCUGUCACUUUAUGUUUUUUGCACAGUGUUUUAAAGUGUUCUUACAAGAAUUGACGUUAAACAAUAAGCAAAGUCGCGAAGAGUCCUACUUUUAAAAAAGUCACUUAGCAUUUCUCUCUGUCACUUUAUGUUUUUUGCACAGUGUUUUAAAAUGUUCUUACAAGAAUUGAUGUUAAACAAUAAGCAAAAUCGCUGAAAGUCCCACUUUUAAAAAAAUCACUUAGAAUUUCCCUUUAUACAAACAUGACUACAUGAGUUAAUUAAUAAUUAAUUUAAUUUCAUGUUUUUCUUAACUAAUAAUUAUUUAACCCAAACAUAUGAUUCUAGGGAGUUUUAACAAAACACUCCCAGUACUGUUCAUUUUUAAUGAAAAACCACAUUUUUACCUUUAACUGGCACUAUUCACUAUACCUUUAAAAAUGACUUUUCGUUAAAAGAGAAGUUUUUUGGAUUUUUCGUUAGUUUUCCUAUGAUUCUAUCCCUUGAAAAAAAAAUCAUAUUUUAUUUGAUGAAUGAGCAAAUGUAUAGUCAAUAGUGUGUUCUGAUGUGACCAGUACGUUAUAUUCAUACAAUAUGCAAUAUAUAGUCAACAUUGAAUAGCUAUAUCGCUUGUCCUUGCUUGGUAAAUCAAGGAUAAAUGAUCGAAACCAGAUCCCCUCUAGAGCAUGAGGACCGGAGCCUGCUGAGCAACCCAUCCGGAUUCUUGAAAUUUGAUCUAAUAGUUACAACUUGCAAUUAUUAUAAUUUUUAGAGGAACCCUCUACUUGUAGCUGUUGAAUCAAAUUUCAAAGACCCGAAUCCGAAUAGGUUGCUCAGCAUGCUCCGGUCCCCAUGCUCAGGAGGGGGUCCGGUUCCUAAAUGAUCAUAGGUUUUUUCAGCUUAUACCUAUAAACCGUGUCUGAUAAUUACAUAAAGCUACGAAGGGCAUUUGUGGAGAAAUUUUUAAUUGUAACAAGAACACAAGUGGUACACCACGUAUUUUAAUUGAAGUCUUUGUUAGACGAAGUCAACCGUUGGUGGUAACCAACACUUCUUGAAGAGUCGUGCUGUGCUUAGGAGUCUUAUCUCCUUGUUUAUAGGACUUCCUUUUUAAAUUAUUCUUCUAACUGAAACUGGUUGUUAUCUUUGUAGAUUUAGCCCCAGUUUGGGGUUGAGGUGAUUUUAAAAAAAGCUCCUAUGAAAAAAAGCUGGGAGUGUUUUUGGUGUUUGGUAAACUUAAAAAAAAGGGCUUAUUUUGGAAGCUGCUGUGAGAAUAAGCUGAAAUCAAAGGAAAAAGCUGAAGCUGCAAUUUGUAGCUUUGGAAAACUGGUUUUUUUCAAAGCACAUAUAACUACAGUGCUCCUUUAAUGAAAAGCUCCACUAUCAGACUGUUUUUUUUUUCCAAAAGCACUUUUACAAAAAAGCUUACCAAACACUCUGCUGAUUUAUUUCACAGCCGCUUAUUCUCACAGCACAGCCGCUUAUUCUCACAGCAGCUUUUUUUCAAAGCACAGCAAUACCAAACCAGUAUCUUUUGAAUUUUGAACUUUUGUGUAAGUAGGGUUAAUUCAAACCCUGAUCGUAAUCUGUAAGUGGUUAUAAGUACAUGCAUCCCACACAUUCAAGGAUAUGCAAUUGAAGUGAAAUCUCUGUGUUAUUAAGUUUUACAUGGUAUUGAGCCUUACUGUCUAACGACAACGAUCCAUAUUUGUUUUUCCUCGCUUCCAAUGGCUGAAAACAAUGGUGCUUCUUCUCAACCAUUCAAUCCCGUUUCCCCAAACAAUCCCACCUAUCCCUUUUCCUCCAUGACGUGGUAAACAUUAAGCUAGACAAGACCAACUACCCACUGUGGUUGGCCCAAAUCUUUCUUAUUCUCAAGAGUCGAGAUUUAAUGGGGUAUGUUGAUGGCACUCUGGUGUGUCCCUCGAAGCACAUGCCUGGUGUGGCAACUGUUAAUCCUGCCUAUACCUUCUGGAUGCAGCAGGAUUAAAUGAUCAUAAGUUGGAUCAAUGGCUCACUUACUGCAUCAGUUUUGUCUGUUGUGGCUAGCAAGCGAAGUGCUAGAGCAACCUGGGAAGCGCUCGAGCAGCGGUAUGCUUCUUUUUCACAAAAUAGGAUUUUAUUUUUGAGGAAUGAAUUGUUGCAGACAAAGAAUAGUGAUCUUUUGGUAGCCGACUAUUUGGAUCGCAUGAAUGUGAUUGUUGACAACCUUGCCCUAGCUGGGCAACCUGUGAGUGACGAUGAAUUAGUACAGAUUGUGUUGAACAAUCUUGGACCAGCUUUCGAGAUGACAGUCAGUGUUGCUCAAGCUUAUGAUACACCUAUCACGUAUCUGACUCUUGAGGUGUUAUUGUUAACCAUUGAAAGAAGAAUGUUGGAGCAUGCUGCUCCUAUGGUGGAACAAGCUUCUGUUACGGCCUUUGUUGCUGCAAGAAGACGAGGUGAAGGUCGUGGUGUUGGGCGCAGUGCUUCUCCUUUCAAUCGUGGUGGAACGUCGAAUCAACGAGGAUUCAACCCUCGUAAUAACAACAAUCAACGCUAUGCUUCUGGAAAUGGGGAACGAUGUGCUUCUACUGGUGAGCAUAUUAUCUGCCAGAUAUGGCAAACCUGGUCAUCCAGCUCUGGAUUGCUAUCAACGAAUAAACGCUGCUUUUGAAGGCCGCAUUCUUACCAAGCGUCUCUCUGCCAUGGUAUCGUUUCCUACUACUCUCAAUAAACAAAAAAAUGGCAAUUGGUUACUGGACAUAGGAGCCAAUGCGCACAUCACUCCGAAUCUGCAAAACCUGGUAAACCCGAAGAAGUAUAAUGGUAAUGAUAGUGUUGGUGGUGCAGGUAAAGACUUUGGUAUUUUGAUUGCACAUUAUGGUUCUAAUAAAAUUAAUAUUGAUGCUUGCUCAUUUAAUUUACAAGACAUCCUACACUGCCCUAAAGCCUCAACUAGCAUCAUUUCUGCCCACAAGUUUACAUUAGACAAUGACUGCUAUUUAUUAAUCUUCCCACAUUUUUUCCUUGUAAAGGACCUCAAGACCCGGAUGACGCUUUUUCAAGGGAGAUAUGAGAACGGCUUAUACCCGUUUUCAGGUGGCGGUUGACAACUUCCAAAUCAAGUUAAAGUCUUUGUAGGGGUUCGAGUUUCUGUUCAAAAAUUGCACGUCUUGGUCAUCCUGCCAGUUCAACAAUAAAGUUUUUAAUUGCAAAUAAAUUGGUUCCAGUUCAUGGUACCUCCAAUGUCACCUUUUGUCAGUCUUGUCCAUUAGGAAAGAGCACCAAGUUGCCUUUCAAAGUGUCAGUGUCUGUUUCCAAUUGUCUUUUGCAGCUUCUACAUUCUGAUGUUUGGUGUUCUCCAAUUAUUUCCAAUGAAGGUUUUCGUUAUUAUGUCCUGCUUGUUGAUGAUUACUCAAGAUAUUCUUGGAUUUUUCCCAUGAAAAAUAAAUCUCAAGUCUUUGAAAUAUUUAUCUAGUUUAAGGCCAAAGUUGAAAAUAUGUUCAAUUUAAAAAUUAAAGCCAUUCAAUGUGAUGAAGGUGGUGAAUACAAAAGAAUUGCCUUUCAAAAGUUUUUAGCACUUCAUGGGAUUUCUCAAAGAUUUUCGUACCCUAAACAUCCAGAACAAAAUGGACUUGCGGAGCGUAAAAACCGACACAUUGUUGAAACUAGUAUUGUGAUGCUUUCUCAGUCAUACAUACCUACUAAGUUUUGGUUUGAUGCUUGUUGUACGACAACAUAUUUGAUAAAUAGGUUACCAACCUGUUUGUUGUCUAACAAAUCACCUUAUGAGAAGUUAUUUCAUAAACCACCAAACUAUGAUAUCCUAAAAAUUUUUGGUUGUCAAUGUUUUCCGUGGUUGAUGCCUUAUACACAAAAUAAACUUCAACAAAAAUGCAAAUCAUGUGUUUUCUUACGUUAUUCAUUGACUUAUCAAGGCUAUAAAUGUAUGAAUUUGUCCACGAAACGAGUUUAUUUGUCUCGCCAUGUCCUGUUCAAUAAGGACUUUUAUCCUUUUCAAGGACUCACAUCUUUUUCUGAAAGCGUUCAAACACAUGGUACUUCUUCUUAACCAGAUCUCUUAUUUAAUUUUCCUUUACACACAUCUCCUUCUUUGACCACGAUACCUACUCCCAUACAAACACUCACUAUCCUUCCACCAUAAAUUUCAACCACAUCUGCCAUCCCACAUCGAAUAGUGACCCAACCUAAUCCUACAUCUUCACCUAGUCAAACUGACACCCCACAUGUAACCCAACCUAAUUCUUCACCUUCACCUAUUCAAACCGACAACACCCAUAUGACCUCACCUCAUCCUACUCCUUCACCAAUUCAACCUGACAACACCCAUGUGACUUUACAGCCUAGUAUUGUACGUUCAUCUCCAGUGUUGAAUGAGCAAGCUACAGUAAUUCAAGACCUCAUGCCAAUGCCUUACGUGGCUCCUAUUGAACCACCACACUCUAUGACCACACAUUCCAAGUCCGGAAUACACAAACCAAACCCUAAGUAUGCUAUGCAUGUGGCUAUUAAUGAUGUUCCUGUUGAGCCUACUUGUUUUACUCAGGCAGUUAAAUAUCCAGAAUGGAGACAUGCUAUGAUCCAAUAGUUUAAUGCCUUGAAGUAUUGUGGAACAUGGAGCUUGGUUCCAUACCGGCCAAACAUGAAUCUUUUGCCCAACAAGUGGGUGUUCAAAAUAAGGAGGAAUGUCGAUGGUACCAUUGAAAGACAUAAAGCACAUUUGGUUGCAAAUGGUUUCCAUCAACAACCUGGUGUGGAAUACACCGAGACCUUCAGUCCUGUUCUUAAACACAGUACCAUAAGACUUGUUCUAAGUUUUGCAGUAUCGAAAAAUUAGCAUGUUCGACAGCUUGAUGUGCAGAAUGCAUUUCUGCAUGGAUAUUUAAGUGAAGAAGUAUACAUGAGACAGCCUGCAGGGUUUGUUGACAAGCAGUUUCCUCACUAUGUUUGCAAACUGCAACGUUCCAUUUACGAGUUAAAGCAAGCUCCUAGGGCUUGGUUUCAACAUUUUUCAGAAUUUUUGCUUCAACUUGGCUUUCAAGAAUUAACAUGUGAUUACAGUCUCUUUGUAUUUAAUCAGAAAGGUGUGUAUCUCAUCUUAUUAAUCUAUGUCGAUGAUAUUCUACUGACUGGGAAUAGUAUUACCAAGCUACGAACCUUGUUUUCCAUGAAAGAUUUAGGACCAUUCCACUAUUUUUUGGGUGUUGAACUGAAGUAUUUUGGGAAUUGCAUGCAUCUCAGUCAAUCCAAGUAUGCUUUGGAUCUUCUCACACGCAUAAAGUUCAUUGAAGCUAAAGCCUAUAUCAACUCCAGUUUCCUGUGGCCAUAAGCUAAAUGCGUAUGAUGGUGAGGCAUAUGAAAAUCCAACACACUAUCAUAGUGUUAUUGGAGCAUUGUAGUACAUUACUAUUACUCAUCCUGAUUUAUCCAACUCGGUUAAUCAAGUAUGCCAGUUUAUGCAUGCACCCAAACUUGCUCACUAGAAGGCUGUCAAACGUAUUAUUCGUUACUUGAAAGCCACACAUACUCAUGGACUUCUCUACAAACCUGGAAAUGCUAGGCUGUUUGCGUUUUCUGAUGCUGAUUAUGCUGGUAAUCCAGAUACCAGACAUUCCACAGGUGGCUACUGCAUUUAUUUGGGUCCCAAUCUUGUUUCCUGGAGUUCAAAGAAACAGAAGAUAGUGUCUAGGUCUAUUGCAGAGGCUGAGUACAGACAGUUGACUUAUACUGCAGCUGAGUUAUCGUGGCUUCGAUCUUUUUUUAAGGAUAUACAUUUGCAUCUUUGUCAACCAACGAUUUGGUGUGACAAUGUUUCUUCCAUUGCACUUGCCUCCAAUCCUGUUUUCCAUUCGCGCACAAGACAUCUUGAGGUUGAUUAUCAUUAUGUUCGGGAAAAGGUUGUUCGUGCUGAAUUAAUAGUCAAUUACAUUUGUUCUUAAGAUCAGCUAGCUGAUCUGUUUACCAAAGGACUGUCAUCGUCACGCUUCAAGUUACUGGUAUCCAAGCUUCCUGUUCUUCCACCCCCAGUCAGCUUGCGGGGGGCUGUUUAGGCCUGGCAAUUCCUGACACGACACGACACGAAAUUAACAGGUGUUUGGGUUGACACGAUAACGAAACGGGUCGUUAUCGGGUAACCCGAUAAGCACCUGUUAAGAUAACGGGUUGGUUCGGGUAUACACGUGGGUAACACGAUACACGAUAAGCAGAAUAUUAAUUUAAUAAUUUUAUAACCCUAAAAAAAUACUAUAAUAAUUAUAUAUAUUAAUUUAACAAUUUUAUACCCUAUAAACUAUAAUAAUUAUAUAUAUAUAUAUUAAAUUAACUAUAAUAAUUAUAAUAAUUAUAUAUACUAUAAUAAUUAUACCCCCAAAAUAUUAACUAUAAUAGUUAUAUUUAUAUAUAUAUAUAUAUAUAUAUAUAUUAAAUUUUAAAUUAAAUUUUAUACCCCUAAAAACUAUAAUAAUUAUACAUACAAAAUAAAUAGAUUUAAAUCUACUUAAUAAAUAAAUAAAAUAUAUGUACACACACACACACCAUUGAACUUCAUGGGAUACGAAUUAUAAGAAACUAAUUUCAACGAUCAAACCGUCAAACUUGUUUGUAUAUGCUUCGAGAUCGCAUCAGCAAAAAAUUACAAAAAAAAAACAUUCACAUAUCAAGUAACGGGACAAAACCUUUCGACGGUUAUAAAUGAAAAAUCACGAUUUAACGGUUAUUUUAACUCCGAUUUUGAUGAUUUUUUACAGCUACACUCCUUUACCCUAUGUGAAUACAAUGAAUGAAUUCGAUCUUCAAUUUAAAAUAUUUACACUAGGGGAUACCAUAAAAUCUUAUGUUAUACUUGAUGAAAGUAUGAAUAAACUCUUAAGUGUUAGUGAAUCUAUUGUUUUGAUGGGAUACGCAUUCUACGAAACUAAUUUCAACGAUCCAACCGUCAAACAUGUUUGUAUAUACUUCGAGAUCGCAUACACCAAAAAUUGCAAAAAACAAACAUUCAGAGAUCAAGUAACGAGACAAAACCUUUCAACGGUUAUAAACGAAAAAUCACGAUUUAACGGUUAUUUUAACUCCAAUUUUGAUAAUUUUUUACAGCUACACUCCUUGACCCUGUAUGAAUACAAUGAAUGAAUUCAAUCUUCAAUUUAAAAUAUUUACACUAGUGGAUACCACAAAUCUUAUGUUAUACUUAAUGAAAAUAUGAAUAAACUCUCAAGUGUUAGUGAAUUUAUUGUUUUGAUGAGAUACGCAUUUUGUGAAACUAGUUUCAACGAUCCAACCGUCAAACUUGUUUGUAUAUGCUUCGAGAUCGUAUACGCCAAAAAUUGAAAAAAACAAACAUUCAGAGAUCAAGUAACGGGACAAAACUUUUCGACGGUUAUAAACGAAAAAUCACGAUUUAACGGUUAUUUUAACUCCGAUUUUGAUGAUUUUUUACAUCUACACUCCUUGACCCUAUAUGAAUACAAUGAAUGAAUUCGAUCUUCAAUUUAAAAUAUUUACACUAGGGGAUACCACAAAAUCUUAUGUUAUACUUGAUGAAAGUAUGAAUAAACUCUUAAGUGUUAGUGAAUCUAUUGUUUUGAUGAGAUACGCAUUCUACGAAACUAGUUUCAAUGAUCCAACCGUCAAACAUGUUUGUAUAUACUUUGAGAUCGCAUACGCCAAAAAUUGAAAAAAACAAACAUUCAGAGAUCAGGUAACAGGACAAAACUUUUCGACGGUUAUAAACGAAAAAUCAUGAUUUAACGAUUAUUUUAACUCCGAUUUUGAUAAUUUUUUUCAGCUACACUCCUUGACCCAAUAUGAAUACAAUGAAUGAAUUCGAUCUUCAAUUUAAAAUAUUUACACUAGUGGAUACCACAAAAUCUUAUGUUAUGCUUAAUGAAAAUAUUAAUAAACUCUCAAGUGUUAGUGAAUAUAUUGUUUUGAUGAGAUACGCAUUUUGUGAAACUAGUUUCAACGAUCCAACCGUCAAACUUGUUUGUAUAUGCUUCGAGAUCGCAUAUGCCAAAAAUUGCAAAAAACAAACAUUCAGAGAUCAAGUAACGGGACAAAACGUUUCGACGGUUAUAAAUGAAAAAUCACGAUUUAACGGUUAUUUUAACUCCGAUUUUGAUAAUUUUUUACAGCUACACUCCUUGGCCCUAUAUAAAUACAAUGAAUGAAUUCGAUCUUCAAUUUAAAAUAUUUACACUAGUGGAUACCACAAAAUCUUACUUGAUGAAGUAUGAAUAAAAUCUUUAAGUGUUAGUGAAUCUAUUGUUUUGAUAGGAUACACAUUCUACGAAACUAGUUUCAACGAUCCAACCGUCAAACAUGUUUGCAUAUACUUCGAGAUUUCAUAUGCCAAAAAUUGAAAAAAACAAACAUUCAGAGAUCAAGUAACGAGACAAAACAUUUCGACGGUUAUAAACGAAAAAUCACGAUUUAACGGUUAUUUUAACUCCGAUUUUGAUGAUUUUUUACAGCUACACUCCUUGACCCUAUAUGAAUACAAUGAAUGAAUUUGAUCUUCAAUUUAAAAUAUUUACACUAGUGGAUACCACAAAAUCUUAUGUUAUACUUAAUGAAAGUAAGAAUAAACUCUUAAGUGUUAGUGAAUCUAUUGUUUUGAUGAGAUACGCAUUCUAUGAAACUAGUUUCAACGAUCUAAUCGUCAUACUUGUUUGUAUAUGCUUCGAGAUCGCAUACGCCAAAAAUUGCAAAAAACAAACAUUUAAAGAUUAAGUAAAGGGAUAAAACUUUUCGACGGUUAUAAACGAAAAAUCACAAUUUAACGGUUAUUUUAACUCCGAUUUUGAUGAUUUUUUACAACUACACUCCUUGACCCUAUAUGAAUACAAUGAAUGAAUUCGAUCUUCAAUUUAAAAUAUUUACACUAGUGGAUACCAUAAAAUCUUAUAUUAUACUUAAUGAAAGUACGAAUAAACACUCUAAUGGGUCACUUUCAUUAAGCUUUUAGUUCCAUUGGCAAGGUUUAAACUUUUGAGAAAGAUUUCACAACCUUGAAAACAAAAAUGCUUUCAUUUUGCAUAUCCUUGCACAUUUAAUAUUUGUAAUAGAUUAGUAGUGUAUGAAUGUAUUUUUUAUGAGGCUCUUAUUUUUUAGUGUAGAUGUAAUACUUAAACGACAAAUGUGUUUUAAUGUUUUGAAGUAAUAUUUAUGUAACAAUGUGUGGCAUGUGCAAAUUUAAGAAAAAAAAAUAUUUUUCUUAACGGGUCAUAACGGGUCGGGUCAUUUUACCCGUUGGGUAAAGUGACCUGACCUGUUAAGGACCCGUUAAGAUAACAGGUGUGACACGACACAACCCGUUAAGAUAACAGAUGUUACACAAAAACGACACGAACACGACUGACACGACUCGUUUGCCAGGCCUAGGGCUGUUAGACAAAGUCAACCGUUGGUGGUAACCAAUACUUCUUGAAGAGUCGUGUUGUGCUUAGAGUCUUAUCUCCUUGUUUAUAGGACUUCCUUUUGAAUUAUUCUUCUAACUGAAACUGGUUGUAAUCUUUGUAGAUUCAGUUUGUAUCUUUUGAAUUUUGAACUUCCGUGUAAAUAGGGUUAAGUCAAACCCUGAUUGUAAUCUGUAAGUGGUUAUAAAUGCAUGCAUCCCACACAUUCAAGGAUAUGCAACUGAAGUGAAAUCUUUGUGUUCUUAAGUUUUACAGUCUUGAGAAAUUUUUUUUUAAGUUAUUAAAAAUUUUAGCAUACAUAUCCCAUCAUUUGUAUAAUAACACGUGAUAUACUAUCUCAUAUAUUGAUUACACUAAAAAAAUCUCUCGGCAUUUGUGGCAAUGACAACCAUGGGCUAUCGCCAUUUACUGUAAGGAGUCCUUCGAGGUGUCGGGCUCCAACCCAUUAAACAGGGAACACACACUUUCAUGAUUCCAUCUUUUCAUGGAUACUGGUAAAAGCUUUUGUAAAUUGUGACCAUGAAUAUGCAUGCAGUUUCUCAAACUAUCCACGUAGAGAUGUGAUUUCAUAACCUACAGUUGCGGGUUUACUAUUCAUUAUCUUCCACACAUAUGUUUGAUUGGGCAAAAACUUCGGAAAAAGAUCAUCGACGGAUUCUUUUUUCUGGAGAUUUUAAGGAUUCUGUGAUCAAGAUCCAUUGUAAAUCUUGUAGUAAAAAAUUAUUUUACAAUUAAAAAUUAAAUGUAAACAGUACUUAACAAAAAAUAAUCACACGAUAUAUAAUUAAAUGAUCGUGAUCAUAAAAUCCCUAGAAUCUUAGAAAAAAUAAAAAUAUAAUGCGAGAGAAUCCUACUUCAGAAAGAUCCUUUUCCAAAAGCUUCCUUCUCUUGGACAAGACUGAGGCCAAGGUCAAAUGUUAUUGAUUGAGAUGCGAAAAGAUAACCUCCAUUUUUCCAAAAAAAUUUAAAGGUAAUUUUGAUUACUUAAUUAAAGGUGAAAAGGCAAAAGGAGCUAAUUGUACGAGGACAUGUGUGGAUUGUAUAUCAAUCAACAAACAACAUUUCAUUUUACUUUUUUUACAAUCGAAAUUUGUCAUCAGUCGAUGAGAUUCUUGCUUCCAUGGAAGCAACGAAGAAGAAAGAGGAAAAACUCUCCAAUUUUAUUAUAGUUUUUAGAUAACUAGUAAUACCCUAUGUGCUUUUGGAAUAUUGUUAUUGUAUAUUACUCUUUGAGCAGAAAGAGUUUCAUUUAGCAUUUUUUUCAUGUGUCCGUUUUAUGUGCGGUAGUUAUUGAUGUUUGCGCUUUUGGAUCCGAUCAAUCUUAUAAAUUUAUAACAAAAAUUAAAUUGCAGUGUUUGUAUGACACUUAAAUUAGGUCUUCUUAGGUUUCACUAGGAGAGAGUUUGCACGAUGUUCGUGUACGGCGAUUGGUGUCAAGUUACCUUGAUCUUGUGUUUGUAGUUCUACGGGCAUAGGUAAGUGGUUGUUUGGUCCAACUAAUCCACUUUGUUGGAUACAUUUUCAGCUGAUGGUUCAGGCUGGUUUCACAGCAUGUGGAAGUCAUGGUUGCAUGCUUUGUCAUAGGGUUGACGCUCACUACACAGCAAUGGUUGAAUACUAACAAGUUUGUGGGCGGAAGAUCCCCCUGAUUUGCUUAGGGAUAUUUUGUAAUUUGCUUAUGUAUUGACAUUUGAGGUGCGUCCUUUCGUCGUGCAGGACACUCUUUUUUCUUUGACCGAGUUGAAAGCUUCGGCAAAGUUUUAUUGAGGCCCACUGUGCACACUAUCCUCAGUUUGUUCUCAAACUGUACUUGUUCUAUGUUGUUUGAAAUGAAUAUCGAAUAUCUUCUUUCUGUCAACAAAAAAAAAAAAGAAAAAUUAGUUUGGACUUCUUGUGUUAGAACUAAUGUUUUUAACAUGGUGUAUAAACUUAAAUAUCCCAUAUAUUUUUUUCAUCUACUGUAUAAAAAACGAAAAAUACAUAUGUUAAUCACUUAUACAAUACAACCAAAUGAGAAUAAGAAAAUUUCAUAAUUUGAACAAAUUAUGGGAGAGUCCAUAUGCGCAUGAUUUCUGACUUAGUAAUGUAGGGCAUAGUUGGCCGGCAGCAAAAAUUUAAUAGCUUAGCAUAAGCAAAAAUUAUAAUAAAAGGAUAACUGGAAUCGCUCCAGGGGUCUCUCACCCGUCAUUGACCUUUCACCAAGAAUUUUGGCAUCUAUCCCAUCUCAGGGCUAGAAUUUUAAUCUCUGGAAGGCAUAGCUUUUCUAUUAAACUCUUCAUUAUUUGUUAAUCUGAAUUACAAGCGAAUUUUAUAAAGCCUAAAACCUAAUGACCGCAUGAAGGUAAACUUAUUAUAGUAAAGAAAUCAUAAUCCAAAAUAGAAUGGGACACUAUAUCUAAUCCUAUUCAAACUGGAAAGAAUUAUAGAGCUCGUUGAAAGUACUUUUAAAAUGACUGAAAGUGCUUUUGAUAAAAAUGAUUUUGGAACCAAUGCUUAGUAAAAAUGCAAGUAAAUUCUGAAGAAAAAAAAAACAUUUAAAUUGUUUUAUGAAAUAAGCAUAUAAUUGGUGGUUCUUAUAGUAAGCACUUUAAGUGCUUUUGAAACCAAAAAAUAUUUUAUUUAAAAGCGUUUUUAAUCAUUUUAAAAAUAUUUUAAAAUCAACGUAACUAACCCCCUAGAUAUUAAACUACUAAGGACUAAAGAUUAAAAAGGCUAAAUACCCUUUAAAUAAGGAAGUCACCACUCGUGUUCCACGUGGCUUAGCUAUUACUAAUUUACUAUCACCAAUAAUUGAUGAAAGAUAAUAUCAAAAUAGAGGCAUAGAGUCAGCUAAUCUUUUAUUUUUUUGGUGAACAGAGUCAGCUAAUCUGGAACCUCUCUUUUUCAUGUAAAGUUCCUUAUCGACGAAGAAAAAUGUGCUAUAUAUUAUUUAUUCGUGUGUUUCAAAAGUGAAUAGUCUCUUUAGUAAGGUGGUGACCUUAAAUAAACUUGAGGUGCAAUUGUAAAAUUAAUUGGUAAAUAAUGAGUAGUUCACUUCUUUAUAAGGAAAAUUAAUGAAAAGGGUUUUUGAAAACUUUGAAUUUUAAAGAUAAGGACAUAAUAAAGGGUAAAAUGAAAAGUACAAGGUUUGACUUUUUAGUGUAAAAAUGUGGUUUUUCGUUAAAGUGAACAGUACCGCGGGUUUUUCAUUAAAACUUCAUUCUUUAUAAGCUCUUGUAUGAUUUGAUUUCUCAUCGAUGUGAGAUUUUGUCUUUACAUUCUCACACUCUUCUCGCACUUGAUGAAUUUUAAAACCUAACACGUAGACAAUACAAAUUUGGUGACGUGGAACAAGUGUGGUCAUUGGACUUCAAAUGUGGACUAAUAUGGAGAGUAGUCUAACUCUUCAUAAGCUGUUUCAUGAUUUGGUUAAUCACUGAUGUGGGACUUUGUCCUCAUAUUCUCACACGCUCCCUUAUGUGGUGAAUAUUCAGGCUUAACAUAUGAACAUAAAUUGAAUGACAUGGGGUAGGUGUGGCCAUCAAACUUCAUACAUGGACCAACCUGCUUUAAUACGAUGAAAACAAUUAAGGUUCCACCAUAAAACUAAUUGACAAUAUAAAAAGUAAUCAAACUGUUUAUAAGCUCUUGCAUGAUUUAGUCUCUCGCUACGUGAAACUUUUUCAUCGUAUCCUGACAAAUCUUGCUCAUAAUUAAUUUGAUAGUUGCGGUUCUGACGAACGGUGGGUUUUAGUAGGGGUGGGUUCUUCGUUGCUCCUUCACAGGGCGCAUCAGGUUCUGUUUCCAUGUGCAUAAUAAGUUGCUGCCAUGACAAACACUCAAUCUUUUCAACUUCAUACUCUUCAGAGCAUCACCGAGAAUGAGAACAAGAUAAAGUUGUUAUUUGGCAGGGUAGGCUAAAAUUGGUCUCAUGAUAUGUACAUAGUAUAUUUUGUAAAAAUGUGGAGUGUUGGUCCAUAUCGUAAGGUUAAUAAACUUUGUUAAUUUGUUACAUAGUGCAUAAAAUCUCAAUUUUCUUUAAAGUAUCAAAGUCGGUUGAAUCACAUGUUUAAUUCUUCUAUCGCAGUAUGAGAGUUAAUUGAACUACAUGUUUGUUUUGAAUGUCACUGAACAUGAGAGAGUCUGUGAGUAUGUAAAGGGUUGAUCCACAUCAAAAAGUUAAGAAACUGUUGUGAUUUUAGGUUGUCCUGGAAGAUGCGUUUCACCAUUUGAUGUAGCUCGUAUGGGAAGCCAAACUUUUUCUUCUUUUGCUAACUUUUUUUUUUUUUUUUUGUUGAAGAACAAGGAAAUUCAUUCCAGGCUAAGAAGCCAAGAAGCUACAGGAAAGCCUACAAAGAGGCAAACACCAAGAAAGACAGACCAGGACAAAAGCUGUGAAAGGGAAUGCAACCUCAAGGGUCAAGACACUUGCACCAAGUGAAAGCAUCACCCCAAACAUCAUCACAGCUAAAUUAAUACGGACACGGAAGAUCAUCAUUGUUCAAAACAUAAAUCAACAAAAACAGGGCUGAUCGACUCAAACAGAUUCAUUCAUCUCUGAAAAAUCAACCGACGCAAGCACAUGCGCUGUCCCAUUGGCCGAGACCAGGGACAGUUCUGGAAAACCACCCCCCCCCCCCCCCCCUAUUUUAGGGAUUCUCCUUCUCUUAGAGCAACUCCACCCAUGGAGCCCUGUCCCCUGGCAAUCCACUAUUCAAUCCACCCUAUUGAACAAUAACUGCCUUAAAUGAAUAGUAAUUACCAUUAAUGAACAGUAAUUGCCAUUUACAUCUCCACCCUUAGAACCCUCCCCUGGCAAUAAGCAAUAAAAAUAAUAGUUUUUUAUGUUUGUUUAAAUAAUAAAAAAAUUACAAAAGCUAUCUCUCUCUCUCUAACACAAAAAAAAUAAAAAAAUACAAAACCCUCGGGCCACAGGCCCGUCGACUCCCCACCCCCCCUUCGCUCGACCUCCCACCCUCACUCGGGCCCUUCCCCGCUGGAUUUGCUCCCACCGGCCCGAGGGCCCUUUCUCCUCGCCUGACGCCCGAGCAACCAGCAAGGCUGGAGUUGCUCUUAUUCAGGUUGACAUCGGAGUCGGCAUCCCUUAAUGAUGUUAACAUCGGAGUGGUUGCCCUUCUCUUAAUGAUGUUCGGAGUGAUGUUGACAUCGGAGUGGUUGCCCUUCGCUGAAUGAUUUGACAUCGGAGUGGUUGCCCUUGUCUUAAUGAUUGUUGACAUCGGAGUGGUAUGGAAUCUUUGACUAAGAAAACCCCAGCAAACGUUGCCGGGUCCAACUCCACCAACCGACAGACAAAUAAAAGUGAUGGUGGGACUUGUGGAUGAGAAUAGUUUGUCACAUACCAAUUAAUUGAGUGAGUAAGAUAAAUUACAUUUAAUUAAUUAGUUAUUUGCCACAAUAACACAAAGUUUGUUGGCUGAUUUUUAAUUGAUAAUUACAUGUAAUUAAUUAGUUGUUUGCCACCACCCGAUAACACUCAUACUCUCCCACUAUUUCGAUUGAUAAAAGUAAUUCGUGGAUUGUUUUGUGGUCCCCGUGACAGUACCUAGUAAUAUAUAUCCUUCGGAUAAGAAUCUUUUUAUUUAUUUAUUUUUUAUGAGAAAUCUUAAAAUUCUUACAUUGUGAUCGUUCAUUAUACAUCAUACAAUUAGUUUUCGUUAGAUCUUAUUUGUGUUUAAUUUUAAACAAAAUAAUUUAUAAUUGCACGAUAUACAAUAAAUAGUUAAGAUGUGAGAAUUUCUAAAAUUCCCACACUUUGAAUGCGAUGGAAUCCAAAUCCAUAUCUUUCAUCCACGUGAGAACCAGCUGGUCUGCAUAUGACUUGGACCAAAUACUUAAUUUACAGUUCCUAGCUAGUUAUUAUUUGGCAAAUAAUUUCUUUUCGUAUGAUUCUUCCUCAUUUGACCUCAACCUCUUAAACUUGUAAAUCUCCCACGAGUCCCGACAUAGUUGUGCCCUACUUUUAAGCGCGGUUAAAUUAUUUUUCAACCCAUUAGAAUUUCAGGUCAUGGCAAUUAUUUUAAGGAAAACUAAUGAAAAUGGCUUGAAAACUUUGAAUUUUAAUGAUAAGGACAAAAUAAAGGGUAAAGUGAAUAGUACCAGGAUUGACUUUUUAAUGUAAAAAUGUGGUUUUUCGUUAAAAUGAACAGUACCGGGAGCUUUUCGUUAAAGUUUCCAUUAUUUUAUUGUUUGAAUGUAGGAAAAGUUGAAAUAUGACAAUCUGGUAAAGUAAUAUAAAUAUUAUAGUUUUCCGAGAUAUGUGUGCAUACAAAGUUACAACCACACAUCACGUGUUUGAUUAUUUCAGUUUACUAUAUGAUCGUAAUUUGUUUUUAAUUAAUAUAGUAAAAAUUGAAAUUACACAAUAAAAUUAAUUGGGAAUUUUAAGUCUAAACUUGGACAACGAAGCACGCAACUAUUCAGGUUCACACAUGCCUAAAAAUAUCUUUAAUAUCAAGAAGAAAAUUAAAAUUUAACCAUAAAAUUAAUUCACAAUAUAAAAUGUAGCUGAACUUUUUAUAUAGAAGCGCAUACAAUAUUUUUUUCCCGUUAAGAUUCUCUCCUAGCAUCAUAUUACUGUAUGUAUUUAGGAUAGGUUAAACAAAAGUAAAAGGAUACUCGAUGGACUAUGACCUUUUAUAUAAAAUGCAGGGCAUAUAUUUUAUGCAUAAGGUUCGAAAACUGUUGACCUUGUUAACAAUGAAAGUCUCUUUUCCUUAAUUGAUGGAUCUCGCAGAUUGAUACACUUUUGUUGUGUGAUUAUUAACGUAUUAGCUGAUCAAUUGAUGCAUGUGGUCCUUCGUUACAAUCAAUGAUGCUUGUUUAAAAUAAUAUUAGGCUGGCACAACUUUGUAAUACUACUUGAUUUAUUAUAUUAUUAUUUUGAUUUCACACGAUGAUUUGUUAUCCAGAGCGUUAGAGGCAAGACAUAGUACCUUAGAGUUUAGGAUUGUUUAAUUUAAUUUUAAUAUGAGGUGAUAAUAAAUCACUCACCCACUAACAUAUGGUUUUAGGAUGAUAAAUCCUAACAGCAGCAAAAGGAAUGUAGACCGUCGACUUAAUCCAUAUGUACCCCUCUGCUUGCUAUUUUGUUUGUUGUCUAUUUCUCUCUCCCUUUUUUGGAAGGGAAUUUUGCUGUUCCCAUGAAAUGGUAUUACCAAUGGAGGCAGAUUGACUGCCCUCCUGGUUGUGGUGUCCUUCCAUGCCUUUUUAUUUGUACUGUCACGAUAAAGUUACGUUAAUAUUUUAUAUUUUUAUUGUUUUUUGUCUUAUUAUCUUUAUUAAAAAAUUAAUAUAAAAUGUUGACGUAGCUUAACCGUGACCGUAAAAAAUAAGAGGGCAUGGAAGGGCACCACAACUAGGAGAAAAAAGCGUGAGCCGUUAUUAAACAUUAUAAAGUUGAUGAUUAUCAAUGGCGGAUGCAUACUCUCUUCGAAUUCCUAAAAAGCACACGCAAUGUCAAUUUUAUUUUUAGGAAAAUUAACGAAAAGUAAAAAAAAAUUAUCUUUUAACGAAAAAUCAUUUUUAAUGGUAUAAUAAAUAGUAACAGUUAAAGAUAAAAAUGUGAUUUUUCAUUAAAAGUAAAUAGUAUCAAGAGUAUUUUAUUAAAAUUCCUUCUUUUUUUUUCAAUUUAAAUAAGACAUUUUAUUGAGCACUUGACCAGCUGCCAAUAUUUCGUGUUAUUUUAAUUAUAUAUUUAAGAUCAAUAUUUUGAUUCCUGCUCAGACCAAUUUUUUUAGACCAAAACUUGAGGAGGCACGUGCCCACUUUGAUCCUUGCCAAGAUUUGACCCUCAUCACUGGCAGGGCCGCUUCAGAUCGAUGGCCAAAUAAAAAAAGAAGGCAGAUUCUCUGCCCUCUCAUUUCUUGUGUCAUUCUGUGCCUUUUUGUUUAUAUGAUCACAGUUAAGUCACGUUAAUAUUUUAUAUUAUUAUUUAUUUUUAUCUUAUUAUAUAUAUAAAAAAUAAUAUAAAAUAAUGACGUUACUUAACCGUAACUAUACAAAACAGAAGAAUAUAGAAAAUGAAAGGGCAGAGAAUCUGCCUUCAAUAAAAAUACAAGUAGAUAAGCCAUCUGAAAAAAUAAUUGUACGUACAUAAAUAAAUAAAUAUAUACAUACACACACAUAGCACACAAGUAACUCCAAAUCCUUGAUAUAUUUCGGAUCAAAACUCACCAAACGUCCCACGAGCAUACCUCACCAAACGUCGCUCACCCCUAGCAUUAACCAAAGCAACGAAGGAAAAACAACAAGGUUAGGAGAGGAAGGAUCACAUCACUAAUCACGCUCUUGUUAAGAUGUAGGGUAGACUUCUUAAAAUAAUAAUACCGACAUUUGAACCACAUACAAGUGCAAGUUUCUUACCUAAGUGAGGGUGAUGCUCAGUCUCCUAUUUUAAAGUAAGAGUGAAGCUCAACCUUAUUAAUUAUUGUUAAAUUAGUUUAAAUUUUAAAAUUCAUAUUUUAAAUCAAUUAAACUAAACUAAUUUAACGGUAAGUAAGAGUGAACAUCACCCCAUUUUAGAGAUGAACAAAGUUGCACUCAUGUUUUAAUUAGCAGCCAAGCUGGGGUCCACAACUUUAAACGUAUGGUUUGUAGAUGUGACACAUAAACAUCGUUUCUCCAGUACAAAAUUGUCACCUUUCGCAAGAGAUAUGAUUUAUGUAAUAUCCAAUUAUUAACAUGAAGUUCCAAUAUAUUCAUUUCGUAAAUGUGAUAAAGAAAAUAAGAGGUAAUAUUUUUUUCCGAAUUCGGACGUUGAAUCCUUUUUAUGAGGAUUUUAAAGAACUGUGAAUUAUAUUCGUUCAUUGUAUAUCAUAUAAUCAUAAAUUAUUUUAAAUACAAAUAGUACCUGACAAAAACUGACCGCACGAUAUACGAUGAACGAAAAUGAUUUACGAUUCAGAAUUCUCAUCAAAAGAAUCUAGGGUCAUGUAGGUUUUUUUCCUUGGUCAAAAAAAAAUAUAACAUUAUAAUAUUUAAUUGUUAAACGUGUUUCUCCCACCCAAUUAUUCAAGCAUCAUAUUUCUUGGAAUUAUCUCUCUCUCUCUCUCUCUCUCUCUCUCUCUCUCUCUCUCUCUCAUUCAUUUUUAUGCGUACUCAAUGAGUGGUAAUGGAGUAGGUGCUCCAAUAUUAAUUAUGCAUACACAUUUUUAGUGUGCGGUCCCUCUGGUUUCCACUAUAAAAACAUCAUACUCCCCUUUCCUUCUGAAUUGCAGAGUGGAAAGGAAAACUAAUUCAGCCAUGGCUUCAUCUCCUUUACCAUCAACUUCUACAAUGGCCGCCGUGCACUCCACCACAACCACCCCCUUCCGCUCUCCUUUAUUCCCAAACAAGUACCAGACUUCAUUGCAACGAAAACCCAAACAAUGCCUUGCAGGCAGAGUGCGCUGUAAAGCAACAAAAGGUGACAAUGAAAACCUAGACCAGGGCCUAGCAAGACUCGACAGGAGGAACAUGCUGAUAGGUUUAGGCGCUGGGGGUCUCUACGGUGCAGCAGGAAACCCAUUUGCUUUUGCAGCACCGGUAUCCGCCCCAGAUCUGACCACGUGUGGUCCUGCCGACAAGCCAGACGGGUCCACCAUCGAUUGUUGCCCACCCACCACGACGACCAUCAUCGACUUCAAACUCCCUGACCGAGGCCCACUCCGCACUAGGCUCGCUGCCCAGGACGUUGCAAAAAACCCUGCAUACUUGGCCAAAUACAAAAAGGCCAUCGAGCUGAUGCGGGCACUUCCAGACGACGACCCGCGCAGUUUCGCCCAACAGGCCAAAGUCCACUGCUCUUACUGCGAUGGUGGAUACCCACAAGUCGGAUACUCGGAUUUGGAGAUCCAAGUUCACUACUGUUGGCUCUUCUUCCCGUUCCAUCGUUGGUACCUCUACUUCUACGAGAAAAUCAUGGGGGAGCUCAUUGGGGACCCAACCUUCGCCCUCCCCUUCUGGAACUGGGACGCACCAGCUGGAAUGUACAUUCCUGAGAUUUUCACUGAUACGUCGUCAUCCCUCUACGACCAGUAUAGAAAUGCAGCGCAUCAGCCCCCGAAGCUCUUAGACUUUAAUUACAGCGGGACCGACGAUAACGUCGACGAC